rnacentral:lncRNA from 1 species
CUUGAAGAUCUUGCUUGGGGAAGCUUAGGAUCGUUAUUAGGUUACUUAGGUUCUCUCAUUGGCUUGGAGAACAAUUGCGCUAGGGGCCAUAACUGUCUUCAGUUAUAGUAUGCUAUGUAUGUGAUGCAGUGAUGUAUGUUGAUGCAUGUGAGAGCGAUAUAUGAUAAAUAAGCCGGUGAGAUCAGGAAAAAUUGCACAUGUCCCUCAAAUUAAAUAUUAAGUUUAUGCUUUCCAAGUUUUAACCACUUCAUCAGACUAGUAUCGGAUAAUUAGGUUUCGCCUACGCGGAGGUGAUGUUCUUAUUAGUAAAGCGUGCGAUGGGAUAAUUGUAAUAUCCAACCUGUUUAAACAUAGGGUCAAACUUACUAACAAAUUAUAAUAAGAUUAUAUAUAUGUUUAGAACAGCAACAGUUGGGAAUUGAUUCCAUAUGAUGGAUUGGAAUAGGACGUUAUUCACCAACUGAGCAAUUUUUGGGAGUUGUAUGAGAUGCAAUUGGAAGGGAGUUCCUUACCUAAAUAACCUAGUUUUAUGUAAUCCGCCUACCCGGACUUAGAACGAAGAAAUAUGGAUCUCGACCCACGUAGAAAAUCUUUCAACGGGAUUUUCCGAUCAAAUGAUUGAGGUCAUUUGUUUUGAGUAAAUGUGGGAGCAUAUUUAUUAAAGGCUAAUUAAAUAUGUCAAUGAUUACUUAUAUUUUCAUUAAUCCUUGUGUAUGAUUACCAUGACAAACAACACCUCUAACAACAUCUUGCGCAUCAACCUUUGACAAGGAAAAAUUGUCUGGGACAAAUUUUCUUGAAUUUGGUACCGAACACUUGAGAUUGUUCCUUCAAACAGAUAAAGGAAGGCAAGGAAGUUGCCGAAACCAACCCACCAUUCUGCUUAUGAAGACCUAGUGGAAGCAUAGAAAAGAAGGCACCUGCUCAUUGCGGUAAGAACCGCACCUUGAAGAGGAACUGCCCAGUACUUGGAAGAUAGGAAGAAUGGAGUAGAGACUCCAACUUUCAAGUAUUAUUGUUUAUUGAAAUUAAAUUUAUCUACUUCUGCAUCAUGGGUAAUAGAUACUGGAUGCGGUUCUCACAUUUGUACAAAUGUGCAUGGGACUAAAAAAGAGUAGAGAUUUGCCAAAAGGUGAAAGUCGAUCUAACGAGUUGGCAAUGGAGCAAAGGUCUGCUGCUUAGUGUCGUGGAAUUAUGAAUUGACGUUAUACCUAGUGGAUUUAAUAAUUCAGUUAGAGAACUGUUAUUCAUGCUACCAACAUUAGCAGGAAUAUUUUUCCGUCUCUUGUUUGAGACAAGGUUUGGUUUUUUCAUUUUUAUAAUAAGAGCAACUGUUGCUCAAUUUAUUUGAAUGAUCAUAUUUAUAUUGCUCUUGACAACAAUGAACAAUGGACUAUAUGUCCUUGAUCUUGAAAUGCCUAUUAUAACAUUAUACUAAAAGGAUUAAACUAAUGAUGUUAAAUCCAACUUACCCUUUUGCAUUGUUGAUUAGGCCACAUUAAAGAAGAAACGCUUUCCGAACUCCAUAAAGAUGGCUCUUGGACUCUUUUGAUUUAUGAAUCAUAUUUGAGACAUGCAAAAUCUUGUAAUUGGAAGAUGACAAGAGCUCCAUUCAUAGGAAAAUGGUGAAAGAGCUAAUGAUCUUUUGCCCUAUCAACAUACAAAAUGAUGUAUUGUUGGCACCAUGACAUACCAGCAGAGGAGGUUUUCAAUACGUUCAUCACAUUGCUGAUGAUUCAGGAUAGAUAUUGGUUAUCUGUGUAUUUUAAUGAAACAACAAAUCAGAGUCCUUGAAAAGUUCAGAGGACUUCAAGAUGAAGUUUAAAAAACCAACUAGGUAAGAAUAUAAAACUCUUCGAUCAGAUCGAGGUGGUGAGUAUUUAAGCCUGAGUUAUGAUGAACAUCGAAAGAGUGUGGGAUCCUAUCCCAAACUUACUCUCCUGGAAAACACCCCAAUGGAAAUUGGAUUGUAUCUGAUGAGAAGAAAUCGAACCCUGUUACAGGUUCCGAUCCAAUGAUGAGUCACGUCGAUUCUUCCAAAACUCCCUUUUGGACAUGCGUUUUUGACAGCAGCUUACACACUUAACCGUUCCAUCAAAAAGGUUGAGAAGACACCAUAUGAGAUAUGGAGUGGUGAGAACCACAUAUGUCUUACCAUGAAGAUUGGCGGUUGCGAGUUUAUGUGAAACGACAAAUUUCAACUAAGCUUAGCCCAAAUCUGACAAUGCUGUAGUUGCUGGGGUAUCCUAAAGAAACAAGACGGUCUAUUACUUCUACAACUCCUUCUGACGCGGGGCAAAGUGUUUGUCGCUUCGAACUGGAGUUUUCCUAGAAGAAGGAUUUUAUUUCCAAAGAACCAGUGGAGGAAAGUAGAGGCUUGAAGGAAAUUCAGAAUCACAAAGGGGCAUUUCGACUUAACCCCCACACCUAUGGAGCGGGGAAUUUAGAGAGGAAACACAAGUGCGUUGUGGAAGAGCAACCUGCUCGACAAGACAAGACCAGCGUUAGGUCAAGCAGAAUCAUGCACCUACGCUGAAGAGAUAGUGGAUAUCUCAUAACAGAUAAGGUGAUGUAUACUCAUGGAUCAAGAUGAGCCUUGACCUACCAAGAGGCCAUAACUGUUGUCCCGAGUCUGAGAAGUGGCUAAAAGCCAUUGAAAUCUGAAAUGGAUUCCAUGUACACAAACCAAGUUUUUGGACCUUGGUAGAGCCUCCUGUAGAGUUAAUCUAUAGGAUGCAAGUGGCGUCUUCCAAAAAGAGAACUGGGACAUGGAUGGUAAAGUACAUACCUAUAAGGCAAAACGACUGGUUGCAAAAGGAUAUUAACAAAUUCAUGGGGUUUGGCAUGGAUGAAACCUUUUUCACCAGUUGCAAUACUUUAAAUCUGUUUGGAUUUUACUUGCUAUCGUGCAUAUCAUGAUUAUGAAAUAUGGCGCCAUGGAUGUCAAAACUGCGUUUCCUCAUGAGAAUCUUCUUGAGAUGUGUACAUGACACAACCUGAAGGGAUUUGACAUACCAGAAAGAAGCCCAAAAGAUAUGUAAGUCUACAAGGAUCAAUCUAUGGAUUGAAACGCAAGUUCCAGAAGCUGGAACUCUUCUUUUUUUGAUGAACGGUAACAAAAUCACGGGAUUCAUCAAGAACGAACCAGAUGAGCCUUGUGUUCACAAGAAGGUUAGUGGGAGCAUGCCUCGAUUGUUCCUGGUGUUAUAUGUAGAUGACAUAAUUACUCAUUGGAUACGAUGUCCCUACCCUGCAACAGUUAAAGUUCUUGGUUAGGGAAUGCAUUUCUUAUGAAGGACCUAGGUGAAGCAGGCUAUAUAUUUAGGAAUCCAGAUCUAUAGAGAUAGACUCCGAAAACUGGGCUUGGCCUAAGUCAGAGUACAUACAUAGAUAAAGUGCUGAGACGCUUUUUUUUUUAAAAUUUAAUGGGGCGCAUUUUUUGGAUUCCAAGAAAAGGAUUCAUUACCUAUUUGCCAACCUGGCAAUGUGUCUAUCAAAAACACAAUUCCCCUUCAACUAAGGUAGAAAGGCGAACGCCCGUGAAUAAGUUCCAUAUGCAUCAUGCUAAUAGAUCUAUAUUGUUAUGCAUGUUAUUACUCGACCAGAUGUCUCGUAAUUACUUUUUAAGUGCAACGAGCAGGGUUACCAAUCUGAUUCCUGGUGAUCCCAUUGGGUAGCUGUUAGAAUAUCCUUAAGUACUUGAGAAGGACUAAGGAAUCAUUCUUGAUAUAUGGAGGUCAGGAAGAGUUGGCUGUAAUUGGUUACACCGAUGCUAGCUUCCAGACAGAUAAGGAUGACUUUAGAUUGCAAUCUGGUUAUGUGUUUUGCUUGAACAGUGGCACUGUGAGCUGGAAAAGUUCAAAGCAAGAUACAGUUGCUGAUUCUACAACCGAGGCCGAGUAUAUUGCUACCUCAAGUGCAACAAAGGAAGCUGUUUGGAUCAAAAAGUUCAUUAGUGAACUUGGCAUAGUCCUUAGCAUUGUGGAUCCCAUUGAUCUCUAUUGUGAUAACAAUGAUGCUAUCGCACAAGCUAAGGAGCCUAGAUCUCACCAACGAUCCAAACACAUACUUAGGAGUUAUCAUCUCAUUUGAGAGAUAAUAGAUAGAGGAGAUGUGAAAAUAUGUAAAGUACCUACACUUGACAAUAUUGCUGACCCACUGACAAAGCCUCUUGCGCAGCAGAAGCAUGAUGGCCAUACUAGAUCNNNNNNNNNNNNNNNNNNNNNNNNNNNNNNNNNNNNNNNNNNNNNNNNNNNNNNNNNNNNNNNNNNNNNNNNNNNNNNNNNNNNNNNNNNNNNNNNNNNNNNNNNNNNNNNNNNNNNNNNNNNNNNNNNNNNNNNNNNNNNNNNNNNNNNNNNNNNNNNNNNNNNNNNNNNNNNNNNNNNNNNNNNNNNNNNNNNNNNNNNNNNNNNNNNNNNNNNNNNNNNNNNNNNNNNNNNNNNNNNNNNNNNNNNNNNNNNNNNNNNNNNNNNNNNNNNNNNNNNNNNNNNNNNNNNNNNNNNNNNNNNNNNNNNNNNNNNNNNNNNNNNNNNNNNNNNNNNNNNNNNNNNNNNNNNNNNNNNNNNNNNNNNNNNNNNNNNNNNNNNNNNNNNNNNNNNNNNNNNNNNNNNNNNNNNNNNNNNNNNNNNNNNNNNNNNNNNNNNNNNNNNNNNNNNNNNNNNNNNNNNNNNNNNNNNNNNNNNNNNNNNNNNNNNNNNNNNNNNNNNNNNNNNNNNNNNNNNNNNNNNNNNNNNNNNNNNNNNNNNNNNNNNNNNNNNNNNNNNNNNNNNNNNNNNNNNNNNNNNNNNNNNNNNNNNNNNNNNNNNNNNNNNNNNNNNNNNNNNNNNNNNNNNNNNNNNNNNNNNNNNNNNNNNNNNNNNNNNNNNNNNNNNNNNNNNNNNNNNNNNNNNNNNNNNNNNNNNNNNNNNNNNNNNNNNNNNNNNNNNNNNNNNNNNNNNNNNNNNNNNNNNNNNNNNNNNNNNNNNNNNNNNNNNNNNNNNNNNNNNNNNNNNNNNNNNNNNNNNNNNNNNNNNNNNNNNNNNNNNNNNNNNNNNNNNNNNNNNNNNNNNNNNNNNNNNNNNNNNNNNNNNNNNNNNNNNNNNNNNNNNNNNNNNNNNNNNNNNNNNNNNNNNNNNNNNNNNNNNNNNNNNNNNNNNNNNNNNNNNNNNNNNNNNNNNNNNNNNNNNNNNNNNNNNNNNNNNNNNNNNNNNNNNNNNNNNNNNNNNNNNNNNNNNNNNNNNNNNNNNNNNNNNNNNNNNNNNNNNNNNNNNNNNNNNNNNNNNNNNNNNNNNNNNNNNNNNNNNNNNNNNNNNNNNNNNNNNNNNNNNNNNNNNNNNNNNNNNNNNNNNNNNNNNNNNNNNNNNNNNNNNNNNNNNNNNNNNNNNNNNNNNNNNNNNNNNNNNNNNNNNNNNNNNNNNNNNNNNNNNNNNNNNNNNNNNNNNNNNNNNNNNNNNNNNNNNNNNNNNNNNNNNNNNNNNNNNNNNNNNNNNNNNNNNNNNNNNNNNNNNNNNNNNNNNNNNNNNNNNNNNNNNNNNNNNNNNNNNNNNNNNNNNNNNNNNNNNNNNNNNNNNNNNNNNNNNNNNNNNNNNNNNNNNNNNNNNNNNNNNNNNNNNNNNNNNNNNNNNNNNNNNNNNNNNNNNNNNNNNNNNNNNNNNNNNNNNNNNNNNNNNNNNNNNNNNNNNNNNNNNNNNNNNNNNNNNNNNNNNNNNNNNNNNNNNNNNNNNNNNNNNNNNNNNNNNNNNNNNNNNNNNNNNNNNNNNNNNNNNNNNNNNNNNNNNNNNNNNNNNNNNNNNNNNNNNNNNNNNNNNNNNNNNNNNNNNNNNNNNNNNNNNNNNNNNNNNNNNNNNNNNNNNNNNNNNNNNNNNNNNNNNNNNNNNNNNNNNNNNNNNNNNNNNNNNNNNNNNNNNNNNNNNNNNNNNNNNNNNNNNNNNNNNNNNNNNNNNNNNNNNNNUAACAGGAUAAAUGUCUAUGGGCCCAAUAUUGAACUGGACAAGGGUGACACGGUCUAUACCUUGUGUUCAAUAUAGACAUAAGGGCAAAGGGGUAAUUAUACACAUAAUUAUUAUCACAGGAGGUUUUGUCAGAUCACAUGACAUUUUCGUGACUUGGGUAGCAGUGAUGUGUUGCUAGAUACCGCUCACUGUUUAUUAUGUUAAAUGCGUGAUUUAAUAUAAUUGCCAACGUCGUGAAAACCUACAGGGUCACACACAAAGGACGUAUUGAUGAGAGAUAGAGUAAUUAAGGAAUACCGUAAUGUAUGGUGCCCUUAAGUAGAAUACGAAAUAUGGUAAGGUACCAAAUACUUAAGUGAUUUUGGCAUAUUAUGAGAUAUGGGCAAAAUGCACUUAAGUGGGCUUUUUGGCUUGAAGCCCACACAAGUGGUUCUAUAAAUAGAACUCUUAUGCAGAAGCAUUGUAUGGGAAUACAACACAACUGAAGAGUUGGAAUUUUGUAUCUCACUUUCUCUCACUCAAAGCCUUCAUUCAUAACAGCUAGCACUGCGAUUGAAGGAAUCCGUUCAUGUGGACUGAGUAGAGACAUUGUCAUCGUUCAACGUUCGUGAUCACCACAAGAGGUAACGAUUCUAUCACUUAUCAUGCCCAUUCGUAAGGAUCACUAAAUGGAGAAAAUUUUAAAUUCCGUUGCGCCUUGGAUGGCAAUUCUCCUUCAGAAGGUAAGGUCAAACGACAAAACUUGUUACCACCAAAAGGAUGAUAAUAAGCACACAACGUAAUUGAUCACCAUCACCAAAAGGAUGAAGGUAAGAUCAAGACAAAAACUUGUUGCCACCAAAAGGAUGAUAAUAAGUCAACAAUCACCAUCACCAAAAGGAUGAAGGUAUAAUUAAAAGACAAAACUUGUUACCACCAAAAGGAUGAUAAUAAACACACAACGCAAAUUGAUCACCAUCACCAAAAGGAUGAAGGUAAGACCAAGACAAAAACUUGUUGUCACCAAAAGGAUGAUAAUAAGCACACAACGCAAUUGAUCACCAUCACCAAAAGGAUGAAGGUAAGAUCAAGACAAAAACUUGUUAUCACCAAAAGGAUGAUAAUAAGUCAACAAUCACCAUCACCAAAAGGAUGAAGGUAUAAUUAAAAGACAAAACUUGUUAUCGCCAAAAGGACGAUAAUAAGUCAAAAUAGACUCAAAUGAUCACCAUCACCAAAAGGAUGAAGGUAAGAUCAACAACAGAACUUGUUACCACCAAAAGGAUGAUAAUAAGUCAAUAAACUUAAAUAUCACUGACACCAAAAGGAUGACAGUAGGAUCAAACAAACAAAACUUGUUAUCACCAAAAGGAUGAUAAUAAGGACAGAACUUCAAAACUUGUUAUCACCAAAAGGAUGACAAUAAGUCGAGACAAACUCAAUGACCGCCAUCACCAAAAGGAUGAGGGCAAGAUCAAAACAAAACCCGUUAUCACCAAAAGGAUGAUAAUGAGUCAGUAACUCAAAUGGUCACCAUCUCCAAAAGGAUGAGGGUAGUAUUAAACAACAAAACUCGUUACCACCAAAAGGAUGAUAAUAAGUCGACAAUUACUAUCACCAAAAGGAUGAAGGUACUACAGACAACAGGACUCGUUAUCACCAAACGGAUGAUAAUGAAUCAACAAUCACCAUCACCAAAAGGAUGAAGGUGAAAUCGUAACUUCAAAACUUGUUACCACCAAAAGGAUGAUAAUAAGUUAUAAUAACUUCAAAUAUUGCUGACACCAAAAGGAUGGCAGUAGGGUUAAACUUUCCAAAUGUCACCAUCACCAAAAGGAUGAUAGCUUAAACCCAAACUUUAUAAUCUCUAUCACCAAAAGGAUGAUGUUUAGAUUGAACUGGACGUCAUCACCAAAAGGAUAAUGAUUGAACCAAAAUGACAAGGAUCCUUAUCACCACAAGGAUCGCUGAUGUAACACCCCGAUAAUAAUAUGUAUUUAUUUAAAUUAAAUUAAUAAUAUGUUUAUUAAUUUAAUUAGAAUAUUUGAAUUAUUAUUAUUAUUUUGGAAUAAUAAUUAUUGGGAUAAUUAUUUAUUUAACAUAGGUAUGAAUAUUAAGAGUAAUAUUUAUACCAGAUUGACCCGCUAUGAGAAUACUAUAUAGAAAGUUAUGCAAAGUGUCAUAAGUUAUUCUCAUGGUGAUAAUAGUGUAUACCACUCUUCGAUCUGAAACCACUAUGGACCCUAGAUGUAGAGUCGAGUGCUUUGUUGCUGAUCCAACGUUGUCCGUAACUGGAUAACCAUAAAGACAGUUGAUGGGUACUCCACGAAGCAUGCUGAGGGACAUGAGUAUCCUAGAUGGAAUUUUCCCAUCCUGCGUAACAGGAUAAAUGUCUAUGGGCCCAAUAUUGAACUGGACAAGGAUGACACGGUCUAUACCUUGUGUUCAAUAUAGACAUAAGGGCAAGGGGUAAUUAUAGACAUAAUUAUUAUCACAGGAGGUUUUGUCAGAUCACAUGACAUUUUCGUGUCUUGGGUAGCAGUGAUGUGUUGCUAGAUACCGCUCACUAUUUAUUAUGUUAAAUGCGUGAUUUAAUAUAAUUGCCAANNNNNNNNNNNNNNNNNNNNNNNNNNNNNNNNNNNNNNNNNNNNNNNNNNNNNNNNNNNNNNNNNNNNNNNNNNNNNNNNNNNNNNNNNNNNNNNNNNNNUAGGUACAGCAGACUACCUAUCAUGGCUUCUAUACAGACAGUUAUCUACACUAGGCCCGUCCAUCAUCUUUUGGUCAACUCAGAUGAGUGGGAGCAGGAUCCCUCUGUGCCUAGCCAUUAUCCAUACCAAAACUUCUUAACUAUGUUCUUGGCAUAACUUGCUUUUGGAGAGAAACAUAGAGUCCUCAUUUGGUUAACGUUGCAUUCCAAGGAAAAUAGUAAGUUUCCCACAUAGACUCAUUCAAACUCAGACUGCAUCUGGUGAACAAAAUUGUGUACCAUUUGUUCUGACAUUCCACCAAGACUAUAUCAUCAACAUAAUUUGAGCUAUUCAUGAAUUAUCCUUCUUCAUCCUUCACCAACAGGGUUUUAUCUAUGCCACCCUUCUGUAUCAUUUGAGGUCAGAUAAUUCGGUUAACCUUUCAUACCAUGCUCUAGGUGCUUGUUUCAACCCAUACAAGGCUUUCCUCAACUUGCUAUACAUGCUCAGGUUGGUUAGGAUCACAGGAACCCUUUAGGUUGUUCCACAUAGACUUCCCAUUCAGGUAGCCAUUCAAGAAUGCCACUCUUCACAUCCAUUUGGAAUAGUCUUAAAACUUCAGGAUGCAUGCUACCCCCCAACAACAAUCUGAGGAACUCAAGCCUAGGCCACAGGAGCAAAUGUCUCAUCAAAAUCUACCCCUUCAACUUUGAGUGUAUCCUGGUGAGCUACUGUCUUGCCUUAUUGCCUAGUAAUUACUCCUUUCCUCAUCAGAUUUGUUUUUGUAGAUCCACUUGCCGUACAAUGAUGUUGGUGGGGGGGUCCCUUCAGGUCUUGGAAACUAGCUCCCAGACUUUCAUUCCUUUUGAACUGCUCAAGGUUCCUUUGCAUGGGCGUGAUUCCAGUAUUCAUCAACCAGGGCUUCCUUCACAUUUUUGGUUCAACCUUGGAUUUUACAAAGCAGGAAUUUGAGUUUAUUUCCUUCUUGACCCUGGUAGUUACACCACUGGUGGGAUCCCCUUAUGAUAAGAUCCUUAGGGUGGUUCUUUUCUGAAUUCUGAUAGAUUGGCAACUUUGGUGGGUUGGUUGCAUCUACUCCAUUCAGGAGGAGGUUCCUGGUACUUCUUCAGACUUGACUGGACUGUCAGUUGAACUGAUCAAGAAUGUUUUCAACAUCCUCCAUUGACAUCGGGUUCCUUCCUCUUAUUCAUCCACAAUACAUUUAUGGAUUCCAUCAGGACAUUGUGGUCCUGUAGUUGACACUAACUUUGUAGGGCUCUGCUGUUCGUGGAGUAUCCCAAAAAUAACCUUCAUUCACUUUUGGGAUCUAGCUUCCUUCUCUGUUCACGAUCUGCUGAGAAUGUUAGCAUUUACUUCCAAAGAUAUUUGAAAGUACAUUCACAGUGGGUUUUCUGCCUUUCCAUAUUUCAUAUAGAGUGGAGGAGGUUCCUUUUCUCAAGGUGACUCGGUUGUGAACAUAGCAUUGCGGUGUUUCAAUUGCUUUCCGCCCAGAGUGCAUGGGGAGCUUCUUUGCAUGAUGCAUUGCUCUGGAAGAUGUCUUGAAUAUUUCUAUUUUUUCUUUCAACUAUUCCAUUUCUUGCUGAGGAGUUAUAGGUUGAGGAGAACUCAUGACUUAUUCCUUCAGACGAGCAAACUCAUCAAAACUUGGAAUUCUUGAACUUCCGUACCAUGAUCACUUUCUAAUCCGGACCACACAACUGUCCUUGUCCCUUUGAAGUCUUAUGCACAGGUCUUUUGAAGACAACAAAUGGUAUCUGACUUCUCUCUGAUGAACCUUAUCCACGUGUAUCUGGAAUGGUCACUCCACAACGUAUGCAUAUUUCUCCCACCAAGACUUUCAACCUGCAUAGCGUCCCAUUAGUUCCAUGUGCAACAAGUCCAGAACUCUGGAGGUUGCUGGAUGUCCCAGUUCGAUGUGACAUCUUGGUUUGCUUGCCACUGGCAUUCUCCACAGGACUCUUCCUUCAUCAAUCAGGAGCUUCUGAAAAUUCCUCUGACAGCUUCCUUUGGAUAUUAUCUUCUUCAUUCUCCCGUAAGUGGAGAUGUCCAAGCGUCUAGCCACAACUUCACAUCCGUUUUCCUUGGCUGAGGAGCACUGUUGUGGAAAAAGUUUGAGACUUCAGGUUCCCACAGGUAGAGUUAUUCUGGACCUGGUUCCUCUCAUAACUUCAUGAUUGUCACCAUUGUCACAAUGCAUAGCUCUUAGUAAACUGAACAUUGAAACCCUUGAUCACACAGCUGACUAUGCUGAUGAGGUUUGCAGUUAGUCCUGCUUACUAAACAGCACAUUAUUCAGUUUUUGGCACUCCAGAACGAUCCAAGUUGCCCACACCUUUAUUUUUCCUUUGCACCAUCACAAAUGUCACAUAGCUGUAGUGUGAGGUUUGAAUAUUCUACCAGUAGAUUUCCAUACCAGUCAUGUGUCUUUGAGCAUCCACUGUCAAAAUUACCAGUCUUCUCUGGUAGAAGCCCUUAGGCAGUGUGUGCUAUCCUAGCAUACCAUGGUUGCUUCUUAAUGAAACAUAGCCGCUUAUGUGUUUUAUGCUUAGGCUUAACAUGCAAGGCUUGGUUAGGGAAACCAUGAAUCCAGUAGCCAGAAGGCUUUUAUAUGACAAGCCUACCACAGUAGGUGACACCUCCCACUCCUGGUUUCCUCGCUUGAUGUCAUUCAUCCUAGUUCUCGAAGUUGGAGACAUUGGCUCUUGACUUCCUCUUGAACUUUCUGAACUUUAGCCUUUGGGGUUUGUGUUCAGUUGAGGAUCUUUCCCAUCCAAGGGCCAAAUUUGGUUCCAGGACUGCUGUCCCCACCUUUAGAAUCUCCUCCAAGGUGUCAGUUCCCUUAUUCAUCAUCUGAUGGAUUUAGUCAUCUGAUUCAGCUUGGAGUCAGCAGGGUUAUUUCUCACCAUUUAGACCUCUCCUAUGACAGACAGUUGCAUCUGUGCUCUCAUCUUCCAGUUCCUUGAGGAGUUUCUUUUGCUUUUCUCCUUGUGCACGCACGUCUGCACUAGUGGAAAACACAGCUUCUCUAAUAGGAUGCCAGAAAGUUCAUCAAAGGUCAGUUCAUCUGCACUUGAGUAAAUCUUGCAGAGGCACAAACACUGGUUAGUGCAUGACAUGUUUGGCAGAUUUCUCCUUUCAGAAUUCACUUUCAGAAGUUCUCCUUCAGACCAUGUGAAGCUAACCCCUUAUUGCAAAUUUGAGGUAAGUAGGGCAUUCAGCUCUGGACGUGUCCAUACCCUUCACAACCAUGACACUGGAUUCCCUUGCCGUGAUUGGAACUUCUCAUCAGAAGUUGAUCUUUUUCUUAAUGUUCAGACGGAGUGUUCUUGAAAUUUGGUCUACCUCUUUUGAUCAAUCUUCUUCACGAAACUUGUUGAACUGUCUCCCAGCAUGGGCUAAUGCUUCUUGAUAACUUUCAUAACCUCAGUAUAUCCUGCUUCUGACUCCUCUUCAGCAUUUUAGAUACAAAAAGCUAUGCUUUUGUUCUUCUUUCUCAGCAUACUCACCCAAGCCCAUUGUCAAAGUUUGGAGGGAAACCAUGAUUUCAUCCACCUUCAUGUUGCAGGAUGUCCUGCGCCUCCUCUUCAUGGCCUGUGAACCUUCAUAGCAAAUCUCUUUAGGCAAGGACCUUGAGAAUCUUUCUUACAGUUUCUCUUUCAGCCAUUUUCUUCACCUAGUCCCACCAGAGGUGUUUGCAAUUUCAAGAAUAUUUCAUGUGAAAGUCAUGAAUAGUCUCUUCUCUUCAUCCUCAGAUUUUUCAAACUGGUGGUCAGCAUUCGAAGUUUGGACAUCUUCACCUUGAAAGUACCUUCAUGGGUACCUUUGAGGUUCCCAAAACUUCCUUAAGCGAGUCACAGUGUGUACCAGCCUGAAGUGUUCUUGCUGAUUCCAUUGAACAAUGCAUUCAAGGCCUUGGAAUUUCCAAGAGCUAAUGCCUCUUGCUCCUUCUGUCCCACCUCUUCUUCAGGAAUCUGCACCACCUGACUCCAUCUUCCACCUGUCCUCAUUGGAUGUUCCAUCCUGUUGACAGCUCUCCAGACUUUGCUGUCUAGAGACCUUAAGAGGCUAUCAUACGAGGCUUUCCAGUCAUCAUAUAUUAGAGCCAUCCAACAUGGUGGUCUGUUUUGAGUGUCUAAUUCCUUGUCCAUGCGUUUACUAGAAAGUAAACUUCCCUAAUCUCACACCAGAAAUUCACAGGGCAGGGUGCCUGCUCUUUUGAUGCCAAUUGAAAUUCUAGUUAUCAGACUUUGGAUGUCACACUGGGUUGUUAUUGACAUCCAAUUCUGCACAGACAGGGAUUAUGCAGAAUUAACAGUAAGUGCAGUAAAUAACACAAGUAAAUUGUUUCACCCAGUUCAGUCCAACACGACCUACAUCUGGGGCUACCAAGCCAGGGAGGAAAUCCACUAUUUAGUCUAGUAAUCAAUUCAAAGCUAAAACCACCCCGUUUACAACUUAUCACUUAAUUCCCACCCAAUGCAAUUUCAAUCUUAACCUGAGAUUAGAUUCCUACUCACGUGCCCCCUCAAUCACCCUCAGUGAUUACUAUCUUUAAAAACAAUAUUUAAAGACAAGGUGGGAAAGUCCACAUCAACAACUCUUGCAUUGUGCUUCACACUCUUUAAUCAAGAUACACAGCACUCACGCCUUAAAAAGCUUUGAGUGACACAACACUUUACAACUCAAUUGAACAACCUUAUGCCAAAGCUAUCAUUCUACUUGAUAAUGACUUGGCCUAACAAGAUACGUCUAAUACAGACUCACAAAAAUACAGCAGUGAAGUAUGAUGGACACACAAAAUCUUCACGCUCAAAAUCCCUGAAACUGAAUGAAGGACGCCUUUCUUUUUAUAUUGCAGUACCCUGGGCUUUUUGCACCUGUAUUCUCCGGAACUUUAAGGUCACGCGAGUUCCCAUAAAAAUUCAAAUUUAGGUUACUAACAAAAUAGGCUAUUUGUUAGGUUCAGUGAAUGUAAGCUGGAUUGUUGAUUCCUGGUUUUUCAUACUAAAGGCUUGUUGACUUCCUUGAAGGGAGGGCGGGACAGCACCCGGCCCAUUAAAAAAAGGGGGAGGGCCUGAAGAAAAAAGCUGAAACAGAAAACUGAAACCUACAAUAUACAUUGCUGUCAGCAUGGAAUGUCACGGACAUUCAGCUGACAUCAAGGUCCAUGAUGCUGAGUCUGUUUUUCCAGAAAAAACAGACUUUACAUUUUGCUGACCUGUACAUGAUCAAAAUGACCAUUACUACCAGUUGACAGUUACAUUUAAGAAAUGUCAAGUGUCCAAACUUAACAUUUACACAAUUGCCUUAAGUUAGUUCUGUUAUUCUUUUGAAAGAACAAAACUAAGUUACAUUUGCUGAAGUAUAGCAGAACACCACUCUGUCUAAUCUUCAGCAGCUGCUGUCAAUGAUGAAAUGUCAUUAACAUCCAGUUUACAUUCAGUCAGUAGGCCUUAUGCCAGGUUGGUCUUUCUUGAUAACCAGACUUGGAAAUAAAUUACUAAGUUCUUGACAGAAACAACCUGCUGGUUCUAUUCUUUAGUAUCUGUGACAAGUAUGAAUGUCAAUCAUCCAGUUUGACAUUCAAUAUAAAUCCUGUGUUAGCUAGUCCUGCAGUAACUACAAUGUAGUCACACAUACAUGUCAUGACAUCAGUCAGGACAUUAGUAACCAUCUAGUGUUUUACCAUAUAAUGCAGCCAAUUAAACACCUACAGAUACUGCUUAUAUCCUUCUAUAUGUGGAUGACAUAAUUCUCACUACUUCGUCUGAUGCUCUUCGUGACUCUAUUAUGUCUAAACUUAGUUUUGAAUUCGCCAUGAAGGAUUUGGGUCCUCUAAGUUAUUUUCUGGGAAUAUCUGUCACCAAACAUACAAGUAGUCUUUUCUUGUCUCAAAGAAAAUAUGCAGAGGAAAUUAUAGAACGAGCAGGCAUGUCCUCUUACAAACCAUCACCCACUCCAGUCGACACCAAGGCAAAACUCAGUGGCUCUUCUGGGAAUCCAUAUCAUGAACCAACUGAAUAUCGGAGUCUUGCAGGAGCAUUGCAGUAUUUAACCUUCACAAGACCCGAUAUCUCUUAUGCAGUAUAACAGGUAUGCCUAUUCAUGCAUGACCCAAAAACACAACAUAUGUCAGCACUGAAGCGUAUAAUUCGGUAUAUUCACGGCACUAUUGAUUUCGGCCUUCACUUGCAUCCCUCCUCUGUCAGCAAAUUGGUUUCUUACACUGAUGCAGAUUGGGUUGGUUGCCCAGACACCAGGCGAUCCACCUCUGGUUACUGUGUCUAUCUUGGUGACAAUUUAAUAUCAUGGUCUGCCAAACGCUAGCACACCCUCUCUCGGUCCAGUGCCGAAGCCGAGUACCGUGGAGUCGCCAAUGUAGUAUCUGAAUCUUGUUGGAUUAGAAACUUACUGUUGGAACUACAUUGCCCAGUCACAACAACCACUAUAGUCUAUUGUGACAAUGUGAGUGCUGUAUAUCUAUCUGGCAACCCAGUUCAACAUCAGCGUACCAAACACAUCGAGAUGGAUAUACAUUUUGUGCGUGAAAAAGUCGCCCGCGACCAAGUACGGGUCUUACAUGUCCCUUCACGUUACCAAAUCGCUGACAUCUUCACCAAAGGACUUCCCUUUUAAUAUAUUAUAAUAGAUAAUAGAUAGUAAUAAAUUAUUAUCAAAUUUUAGUUUUUUGAUAAAUAAGGAUUGAAAAUGCUAGUUGCAAUAUUAACUUAAUUAUUUAAUUAAUUAAUCAUUUUAAUUUUUAUUAAUUGAAAUGUAAAAAAUUAUUUGAUUUUGUUGUAGAUAUGAGUUGAAUCAUGAGUGUUCUUUUUAUAAAUAUUAGAAUAUCAUUGUUAUUAUUAGGAUAUCAUUGUUAUUAUUAGAAUAUUAUUGUUAUUAAAUAGUCUUGAUUGUAUAGCAAACAGACAGAGAGAAAAAUUGAUUGUAUAUAUAUCAUUGAAAAUCAAUAGAAAGGCAAGACCUAUCAUUCCAAUAAUAAAUAUUAUUAUUGUUGUUUUUAUUAUAUUUUAUAUAGUCUCUAUUGUAAAAGAAAAUAGUAAAUUAUAAUUCACUUUUGGGAAAACUCUAUUUUCAAAUAUGUGGGAAAUCAAGAAACUUGUUGUUUGUAUUUAGUUUAUUAUUCGAUAUUAUGUGAAAAAUAUAGUAGUAAAGUAUAUAAAAACGAUAAAAGAUUGUUGCAUACACUAUUAUUUUUUAAGAUCGACUCAUUAAUGUUUUUCUAAAAAUUGCGUAAGAAUAUGUUUAAGAUUAAAAAGAUUUAUUUUAAAUGUUAUUUUUAUUGCUAAAUUAAAAAAAAACAUAUUAUUUUAUUGUGUAUGGAUUCUCACAUCUAUUUUGGUUUUAAAAACUAAAAUAAUUUUCUUAGUUGAAAUAAGUAUUAUGAUAAUAUACAUAGUUAGAGUAAUAAUUGGAUUGGGCUCUUAGAGCAUUUCCUUUAAAAUGAGAUUUUUUUUGAAAGAUUCAAAUCCGUGAGCUCCAAAUGUAUUAUAUUUGACUUUUAGAAUAGUAAAAAUGAAAUUAUAAGUAUGAUAUGUUUUAAUAUAUUAUAUAGAUAAUAGAGGUUAAGGGUGGUAAUGACAACUAUAUUGGUCAGGUUGUUGCUAUAGAUCAAUUUCGCAUCAAUUUUUUUUUAUGCCACCAACAGAGAUGAUAGAGCUUUCCUUAUAACUAUAACAUUAAUGGGUCAUAGUUGGUGGUUUUUCUAGGCACAAGAUUUUUUGGGGUUAAAUAAAGUUUCUUUCUAUUUUCAAAUUAAAAUUCAUCGCAGAAAAAUAACACCAAUACUAUGAUAAUACUAGUAUUAUAGUAUUGGAAUUGGUUUUGGAUAAUGAUUAUGAAUACUGGGAAUGGGAAAGAGAAGGAAGCUGGUUCAUGGGAUUUGGAAGCUUUUGAUUAGGAGGAAACAAGUUGAUUAUGUUCAUUAAAGGGAAUAAAUUAUGACAAUUGUUUGAGUUACAUUGAGGGAGGAAGUUAUGUCAUUGUGACAUUGUAAGUUAUAUAUCUCGUCUCCUUUGAGUUUAUCAACUUUUAUGAUGAUAAAUGAUUGUAGUUUGUUAGCUGGCCAAUCAUAGUUAGUAAGUUAGCCUUAGUUUAUUGAAGGGGAUAGGAUGUGAUAAUAUAAAAGAUCAUUUCUUAACACAUUCUAUAAGUUUCUACUACAUCACACGAAUUUCUAUAAAUAUCCUCUGUUUUAAAAUUCAUAAAAUAAAAUUAGGAUUACAUAGACGAGUUCAACAUAAAAUGCAACAUUACACUUCAAUAUCCAGGUGGACGCUUCAUCAUCUUCAGAAUAUUUUUGACCGAUUUUGAAAUCGCCGCUUCCAACUCGAGCAGAACUUUUGUUUCGAAACGGAAAAAUGUAUUCCACAUAGCCCUUACAUCUGCUUGCAUUUUGAGCUCAAAUUUGCUAAGCUCAAUCUUCUCCCGUUGCCAAUCAACGGUGAACGGUACUUGAGCUUCACAAUCUUUUAAUUGUCUCCGUAAGAUAGAAGAUAAUGGAUUUCGUCUUUGAUAUCUUCGAGGGAGAUGAAGUCGUUGAGCUUGAACAUGCACCCGCGUGUAGAGCUGGAGAACGAGACAUUUGCAACAUACCAGUCAAUGUCUAUUUGUGACAUUUGAGACUCUUUCAGUUUGUGUGAAAUAUAUCAUAAUAGCACCUUAAUUUAUAGUAGCCAUAAAUCAAUAUGGAUCACUCAAUGAUUAACAUGCUGAUUCCGGAGAUAUACCUCUGAAACCGCACCCCAUUAUCUUGUUUCAGAGAUGUAUCUCCGAAACUUCUCCUGAACCAGUUUCAGAACAGAACCCUAAAACAUAACAUGUUUCUUUCAUUUACAAAAAACACAAAUGUUGUUAUGGGGAAGAUAAAAAAUGUAUUAAGACAAAAUAUGAACAAAUGGUGAAUAUUGAUGUUCAUAAUCAAAAGUAAGUAUUUGAUAUCGUAUCUAGAGAGAGUGGUACAACACUACAACCGUCUAACAGUUAAUUAACGAUUUAGGUAGAUUUAUAAGAUGGUUUGAUUAUAAUUUUUCUAUAGUAUAAAGAUGUAAGAAACUGUAUUUGAUAAAACGAAUUUCACAGAUGAUAAAACAUGAUGGGAUUGAAUUUCAUUUGCUGAAUACAUAUGAAUUCCUCGAUCACUUUCAAGUAUAAUCUUAUUUUUUAUUCAUAUCAUCACGUAUCCUCACAACAGGUAUUAUGUAUAACAUAAUAAGAUAUAUAUAUAGUUGGAAGAAUAUUUAUGCAUAUUAACAUAACAUACCUGAGAGCAGAGGGUAUAGAGAAAAUUAAAUUUUCAAUGCAAUGAGUAAGGAAGUGAAAAUGAAAUAAAGAGGCGGGUAAGUGAGUGGUUGGGGUGAAGUUAUUGACCAUAAAUGCAUGUUUGACUGAAACUGUCUCGCUUAGCAAAAUAACUUUGCUUAGCGAACUUGUGCACAAAAACUUCGCUUAGCGAGAUAAAGUUUCCUUAGCGAACUAAGCAAAAUACAGUUUUCUACAUAAUUGAUCCCUGCUACAAUUAUUCCAUUUACCUGCUCAGAAUUGAUACCAAAAAAUUAAAAAGCUUAAGGAAAACUUACAAAGUUGGGUUGUCUCCUAACAAGCGAUUGUUUAACGUCGUUAGCUUGACGUCUGUCUUUGUUUUUCAUGGUUCGUGCAACAGAAUUAUUGUGGUGAGCCUGUUAAUGUCACCACCUAGAUAAAUUUUCACCCUUUGGCCAUUAACUUUCCAUGUUGCUUGAGAUAUUUGAUCCUCCAACUCAAGUUCCCCAUAGGGUUUUAACUCUUUGAUUCUAAAUGGUCCGGACCACUUUGACUUCAACUUUCUCGAAAACAACCUCAAUCGAGAAUUAAAUAGAAAAACCAUUUGUCUAACCUUGAAUUCCUUGGGAAGGAUCUUGUCGUCAUGAUACUGUAAGAACAAAAUCAGUUCUACAAUAGAUUCUAGGAUUUUGAUGAUAACAAAGGAUGAAACCAAAAAUGGCACCCUAACAAAAUUUCUCUAAGUGUGCAGGACUCUGAACAAGAACAAAGAAAUCUGAUCGCUUUAUCAUAUACAAACUCUGAUCAGAUACAAAGAACUAGAAGAUCAGAAGCAUAUGAAGAAGAAGUGCGCUCUAGAAGUUCUGACUCUGAGCAACAGGACAGCAGAAUACCAAAAGCUCUAUACCUCCACUGGACUCAACUCUGAUGAUCUAAAAGACCAGUACUCUUAGAAGCUCUGAUGUAACCUCAAUGCAAUCUCCGAGAUAACAAAGACUCUGAUGAAGAUUCUCCAAAAUCCAGAAAGAGUAACGGAAACAACUUCUUCAAAUGGAAAGAAAGUAUAUUUGGAAAGAAUUUAUUCAGGGAGACUUUUGUUUAUGGCAAAGAACACAGAAGUAAUGACAUUGAAUGUUCAUCAAAGACCAAUAUUCUUCAUCAGCUCCAACGGUCCUUUCACCACUAUAAAAGGACAACAUACUUCAGUGAGAAUACUACAACGCAACAGAAAAUUCUUUACUCUCUCUCUUAGUUUUUCACGAGCUGUUGCUCAUACGUGACACUUCCCUUGAUCUAUUUGCUGUAAUAUUUGCUUACUCUUAGAAGCACUUUCGAUUACAAUCCUUUUUGCUAAAUUGCAUUUGUUCCUCAAGUGACUAUGCGUAAAGCUUGUAUCCUUGGGAGGACUAAGAGAUCACACUCUUCAGACGUUUGGUUGUAUUAAUCUUUCAAGAUUAGUGGAUUAAGUCCUUUUUGAAGGCGAAAUCACCUUGGCCGGGUGGACUGGAGUAGCUUUGUGUUAUAAGCGAACCAGUAUAAAAUUCUGUGUGUUCUUCUUUUGAAAAAGCGUUUAUUUUCCAAAAAUAAUUCAAACCCCCCUUUCUUGUUUUUCUCACCUUCAGAUACCUCUUAAUUCUUUCUUUGUAAAGUCUUGAGGACUCAUAUACUUGCAACCUUAACUCAUCAAGUUCAUUCAAUUGAACCGUCAUGAUACCUCUUAAUUCUUUCUUUGUAAUGUACUGGAGCUUAUCUCUAAUUUACAUACAUGUGUUUCUUAUGCUAUGUCCUUGCAUCCCACACAGAGAAAGCGCUUGUGCUUGUUAAUACCACCCAUUAACUUUGAUUUGUUUACCCAUGCAAGCCCUUCCUGAACACCAAAUAUGUUGAUAGAGAUGAACAAUCUCAUUUGAAGCAUCACAUGCAAGAAGUAGAUAGUUGUGUGGUUUUACCAUCCAUGCAAAUCUCAUGAACAAUGUUGAGUAAAUGCGCAUUGUUGCAUUAAUUAAAAAAAGGUGAUGAAAUAAUUAAUCCACAUACCAAUAUGCUAAGAUGAAAUUUUACAUUCAAUGAAAGUAGAGAUGAUGAACCUCCUGUCAUGUUGUCAGUGAUCAUUUCAGGAGGUUUAUUGAUAUCAUCCAAACCAUUUCUUAUAAAAAAAAGUUUUGCAUAUUAGCUUAAAAUGUGUGUUAACAACAAAAAUAGAUGGCCAUACGAGUGAAACUCACAACAAGGGUGAAUCCUCAUUUGGCAACAUGUCCCAAAAGUGAGAUAUUUUAGGGUCAACUAGAAUGUUCCAAAAUGCUUUGAAGGAAACCAUAUGAUACCACUUAUACUAGAUUAUCAUCACUAAAUUGUAUGAUUUUAACAAAGUAAAAGAUCUCAUAUCACAAAUUUCAGGGUAUGUAAAAACAAAUAUUUUGUACAAAACCAAAAUAGUAAGAUUGCACAAAUUCACACAGCAAAAAACUAAUAUGCUAUUCCACUCAUAAAUAGAGAGGGAGGGAGGGAGGGAGGGAGGGAAGGGGGGAGGGCACUAUCCAACAAUCACACACUAGUAAAGUUAAGUCUUAUAUAGUCCAAUAAACAAGCCCUCACAAUCUUCUAUUGGUUAUUAUUCUUAUCAAAAUAUUUAAUCUAAAAAAAGUAAAAAAAAAACAACAACAAUCAAACCUUAUUCCAUUAAGUGAGAUCGGCUACAUGAAUUAACUCUGAUUUGUUUACCCAUGCAAGCCCUUCUUCCAUGUAUAUUUUUGUUUUCAAACUAUUUUUGAGUAAACUGUUUGCAAUAAUUACUUAACUGUAGGAUAUUUGAAGAACAAAUCAUCAAAAUAACUCACAAUGACAUACAACUUAAAUUUAAAUAAUAUCACAAUAUAAAUUUCAUUUUAUGCAACUGAAAUGUUAACAAUUAAUUUGAAACCCUAAAGAUUAAAUUAAAUGAAUAUUAUUUCACUAUCUUCCAAUUUAGUGCAAAUGCAAUUUUUCAGAAUCUAUGAAUUUCAUGAAAUACAAUCCCUAAUCCCCAAUUCCAUAAUAUCUGCGUAAGAAUUCAAAUCAAAUUCAAUUUUAAAUACAAACCUAAUCACCAAAUCAAUCGUUUCUAGGUAAGAAUUCAAAUCAACUUCAACUUAAAAUACAAACCCUAAUACCAAAAUCGAACGUUUAUGUGUAAUAAGUCAAAUCAAUUUGAUUUUAAAAAAAUAUAAAGAUUUGUAUAUGAACAAUUACCUGUGAAAUGAGGGAAUAACUUUGAACCAUUGGAUAAGGAAAUUGAACAACAAAGAUGGAAUUUUUUUGAUACCAUUGGAUGAACAACACAACCAAUAUGGAGCAGAUGAACGUUUGCUCCGAAAGCUAUAAUUCGAACAGGUAUAGAGAUACGAAAGUGGAUGAGGGAAUAGGAAGAAUAAGAUUUUAGUAUGCACCAUUGAAGGAAGAUGAAUGAUGAUCUAGGAGAAGGAAGAAGAUGGAAGCCGAAUAUAUUAUUUAAGGAUUUAAGAAUUUCAAUUGGAAAAAUAAUUUUGUCAAAUAAAAAUAGUUUUUUUUUAAAAUUAAAUUCAAAUAAAAGUUUUUUUAGAUAAUAAAUUAUUAUUAACUUAAUGAAAGACUGCUACGCAAUAAAUAUAUUUUUUUAUAUAUAAAUGGUUUAUUGUAUACCUCCUGCAUGCAGGGACCGAGCUAAAAAUUAAGAGUAGUGGGGUUAUAUAUAUAUAUAUAUAUAUAUAUAUAUAUAUCCUUUGCUCCGCAAAAGCAGAGAAAGGCUGCUUAUGCUUGGUUAAUAACCACCCAUUAACUUUGAUUUGUUUACCCAUGCAAGCCCUUCCUGAACACCAAAUAUGUUGAUAGAGAUGAACAAUCUCAUUUGAAGCAUCACAUGCAAGAAGUAGAUAGUUGUGUGGUUUUCCAUCCAUGCCAAAUCCUAUGAAAAUGUUGAGUAAAUGCGCAUUUGUUGGCAUUAAUUAAAAAAAGGUGAUGAAAUAAUUAUAAUCCACAUACCAAUAUGCUAAGAUGAAAUUUUACAUUCAAUGAAAGUAGAGAUGAUGAACCUCCCUGUCAUGUUGUCAGUGAUCAUUUCAGGAGGUUUAUUGAUAUCAUCCAAACAUUUCUUAUAAAAAAAGUUUUGCAUAUUCAUUAAAAUGUGUGUUAACAACAAAAAUAGGAUGGCCAUACGAGUUGAAAACUCACACAAGGGUGAAUCCUCAUUUUGGCAACAUGUCCCAAAGUGAGAUAUUUUAGGUCAACUAGAAUGUUCCAAAUGCUUUGAAGGAACCAUAUGAUACCACUUAUACUAGAUUAUCAUCCAUAAAUUGUAUUGAUUUUAACAAAGUAAAAGAUCUCAUAUCACAAAUUUCAGGGUAUGUAAAAACAAUAUUUUGUACAAACCAAAAUAGUAAGAUUGCACAAUUCACACAGCAAAAAACUAAUAUGCUAUUCCACUCCAUAAAUAGAGAGGGAGGGAGGGAGGGAGGGAGGAAGGGGGAGGGCACUAUCCAACAAUCACACACUAGUAAGUUAAGUCUUAUAUAUGUCCAAUAACAAGCCCUCACAAUCUUCUAUUGGUUAUUAUUCUUAUCAAAAUAUUUAAUCUAAAAAAAGUAAAAAAACAACAACAAUCAAACCUUAUUCCAUUAAGUGAGAUCGGCUAACAUGAAUUAACUCUGAUUUGUUUACCCAUGCCAGCCCUUCUUCAUGUAUAUUUUUUGUUUUCAAACUAUUUUUGAGUAAACUGUUUGCAAUAAUUACUUUAACUGGGAUAUUUAAGAACAAAUCAUCAAAAUAACUCACAAUGAUCAUACAAACUUAAAUUUUAAAUAAUAUCACAAAUAUAAAUUUUCAUUUUAUGCAACUGAAAUGUUAACAAUUUAAUUUGAAACCCUAAAGAUUAAUUAAAUGAAUAUUAUUUCAUAUUCUUCCAAUUUUAGUGCAAAUGCAAUUUUUCAGAAUCUAUGAAUUUCAUGAAAAUACAAUCCCUAAUCCCAAUUCCAUAAUAUCUUGCGUAAGAAUUCAAAUCAAAUUCAAUUUUAAAUACAACUAAUCACCAAAUCAAAUCGUUUCUAGGUAAGAAUUCAAAUCAACUUCAACUUAAAUACAAACCCUAAUACCAAAAUCGAACGUUUAUGUGUUAAUAAGUCAAAUCAAUUUGAUUUUAAAAAAAUAUAAAGAUUUGUAUAAUGAACAAUUACCUGUGAAAUGAGGGAAUAACUUUGAACCAUUGGAUAAGGAAAUUGAACAACAAGAUGGAAUUUUUUGAUACCAUUGGAUGAACAACACAACAAUAUGGAGCCAGAUGAACGUUUGCUCCGAAAGCUAUAAUUCGACAGGUAUAGAGAUACGAAAGUGGAGUGAGGGAAUAGGAAGAAUAAGAUUUUAGUAUGCACCAUUGAAGGAAGAUGAAUGAUGAUCUAGGAGAAGGAAGAAGAUGAAGCGAAUAUAUUAUUUAAGGAUUUAAGAAUUUAAUUGGAAAAAUAAUUUUGUCAAAUAAAAAUAGUUUUUUUUUAAAAUUAAAUUCAAAUAAAAGUUUUUAGAUAAUAAAUUAUUAUUAAUUAAUGAAAGACUCGACGCAAUAAAUAUAUUUUUUAUAUAUAAAUGGUUUAUUGUAUACCUCUGCAUGCAGGGACCGAGCUAAAAAUUAAGAGUAGUGGGGUUUAUAUAUAUAUAUAUAUAUAUAUAUAUAUAUAUAUAUUAUAUAUAUAUAUAGUAUAUAUAUAUAUAUAUAUAUAUAUAUAUAUAUAUAUAUAUAUAUAUAUAUAUAUAUAUAUAUAUAUAUAUAUUAUAUAUAUAAUAUAUAUAUAUAUAUAUAUACUAUAUAUAUAUUAUAUAUAUAUAUAUAUAUAUAUAUAUAUAUAUAUAUAUAUAUUAUAUAUUUAUAUAUAAUANNNNNNNNNNNNNNNNNNNNNNNNNUAAUGAAUAUUAUAAUAUUUUAUAUCCUAUAAAUAUAUUAAUAAUAUAAUACUAUAUAAAAGAUAUAUAAAUAAUAUAAUAAGUAUAGUCAGAUAUAAAUGUUUACAGGUUAAAAGCCUUUUAAACUAUUAUCAUUAUAUAUAGAUUAUAAGUGUUGUACAAAAUAAAGUAAUAUCUAUAGUAUUAUUCUGAGGAAACAUAUUGCUGCGAAGUGUAAUGGUGCUUCAGAUGACCCUUUGUGAGUGAAAAUCAAAUGCUUUGAAUGUGCUUAAGUCCCGGACGGUGAAUUUCAAAACCUGAGGUAAUCCCGGGGCCUAGUGUAUCGUUUUUUGUUCGGCAAUCACAGGAACGCGGGAGGAUGCCCAGUCAGGAAUCCUCACCCCCUAUACCGCUUGACAAAGCCGCUCGUGUCCUCUCAUGACAGCUUCCCAGUAGAGUGACAGUAUCAGCAGCACUGUAUUAUCGCCAAAGUAGAGUGACUAGUAUCCAGACUGUAAUACUAUCCUGUCAGCGGAGUCGAUCCAGUGUUCAAACUGUAUCUUCCAGCUAACCAGCGGAGUAGUUCCGCAUACCCGAACUAGAUAUAUAACUAGAAGUGAUGAUUGCAUGAUAUUCAUACUAUAUAUAAGUAGUUAUCUAAUAUAUAAUAUCCUCCUCACAGUCCAAUUUACUCGCAUUAUUCAUUUUAAAAGCGAAAGAAGCAAAUAACAAAUAGAAAGUAGAAGAUUAAGCAAACACUGCGAUUUUAUCUGUCGUAUGGUUAAAAAACAGAAAAUUGUGUAUAUUAUCAUUAUUCCCGAUUAUUUGAAAAAAAGAAAUAACAGGAACAGAUCUGUGAGGUAUACCGAUUUAUUUUAUGUUACGAAUGAAGAUUCUAUAAAUUACUCGCCCGAAUAGGCAACAGGUCGAUUUGUUCAGCUACGACAGUAAAAAAUUAGUUUUUGUAUUUUUUACACAGUCAUUCAUCACCAUCAUCCGUUAGUUACUUUAUAGGAUUUUUAAAAUAAAAGCUCAACUUCUUUUAAUAUUCUGACGUCUAUGAUUAACUGACGGUGUAAAAUCCUUUUACACUUGUCGUGUAUUUCAAUUAAACUCUUUAUUUUAUUAAAAAUAUAUAUUCAUUUCUUACAUGGAACAAAUUAUUUUUCAAAAAAAAAUUAAAAAAGUAAGCAAAAGUAGAUAAAUUUAAAUUUAGUAAGAAAUGUGUAAAAGAUUAAUAAUUAUUAAUUAUAUUUAGUGUGAGUCACUAUAGAAUUUUCUUUUAAUUUGUAGUACAUUUGGUUAUAUUAUUAUGUUUCUAGAAUUUAAUAUCAUAAUGAUCUUAGUGAGGGCAUAGCUCACUCUUCCGACAUAUAGCUCCGUCCUCUGCUGCACGGGUUAAAACGGUCUAUUGUUUUUCUAUUGGUGAGUUUAAAUUAGCCAAUUUGGUGAUUCACCUUAGAAGUCCCCUUUACUAAAUAGUAUUGAGAGCUAGUGAGGGGUCUAGCUCAUUACACAUAAUAACUUAUCAUAAUUGAUUUAAUUAAGAUAGAGUGCAUAGAUUUGGAGGCCUUCCACAUAUAGUAUGCCCUUUGAAAUAUAGAGGUAUAUAUAUAUAUAUAUAUAUAUACACAAAUUUAUCAAUUAUCUUUUAAAAGAAAAACAAUAAAAAUAGAAUAGUAGAAAUUAAGAAACACUUUAUCGUGAGGGAAAAAAUAAUACAUAUUCGAUUUAUUUGAAAAAAAUAGGAAAAUAAACGAAAAUUGGUUACCUUUUAUUUAUGAGAUUAAUUACUAUACGCUGUCAGUGUAAAAAAUUUUACACAGUCGAUUCAUCACCAUCAUCCGUUUGUAUUACUUUAUAGAUUUUUAAAAUAAAAGUCAAACUUCUUUUAAUAUCUGACGUCUAUGAUUAACUGACGGUGUAAAAUCCUUUUACACUGUCAGUGUAUUUCAAUUAAACUCUUUAUUUUAUUAAAAAUAUAUAUUUCAUUUCUUACAUGGAACAAAUUAUUUUUCAAAAAAAAUAAAUUAAAAAAAGUAAGCAAAAGUAAGAUAAAUUUUAAAUUUAGUAGAAAGAUGUGUGUAAAAGAUUAUAUUAAUUAGAAUUUAUUUAUUUAGUGUGAGUCACUAUAGAAUUUUCUUUUUAAUUUGUAGUACAUUUUGUUAUAUAAUUAUGUUAUCUAGAAUUUAAUAUCAUAAUGAUCUUAGUGAGGGCAUAAGCUCACUCAUUCCGACAUAUAGCUCCGUCCUGCUUGCACGGUAACGGUCUAUUGUUUUUCUAUUGGUGAGUUAAAAUUAGCCAAUUUGGUGAUUUCACCUUAGAAGUCCCCUUUACUAAAUAGUAUGUAGAGCUAGUGAGGGGUCUAGCUCAUUACACAUGAAUAACUUUCAUAAUUAUUUAAUUAAGAGAGUGCAUAGAUUUUUGGAGGCCCUUCCAAUAUUGAUGCCCUUUAAAUAUUGAGGCAAUGUCGUGUUACACUUUGCACAUGCAUAGUAUUUGGUUAUGAUGAUUUAUGAGGAAGAUGGUCCUCAUUUAUAAGAAUACUUUUGAGUAUAUAUUAUCUAAUAUAAGAUUUUUAAUAUUUUAAGUUAAGCUAAUCCAACGAUCUAGAAUUUGUACCGUGAGGAGAUAAAAUUCAAACGCUUCGAGCUAAAAUAUACAAACUCCACCAUAGUUUUAAAUUGCAUUUCUUAACCGCAAUGCGGCCGCAAUAUUAUAGAUGUAGAUACAGUAGUCUCCACAACCAUAUUAGACCGCAAUUGUAUUAGUGAUUUGAUCCAACCACCUUAGAAACCAUAUCACCCUAUUUCAUCCAUGUUCAAGUAUUUUCAUUGAAUCUCAAAGUUUUAGAAUAGCAAGACUCAAUUUACAAUGAAAAACUAUAACAUUAAGUAUUUUAUAAGAAUGUCUUUCAAAUACUUCUAUUUAAAAUUUUUCGCUCCAACCGCCACAAUACCCAUGGUAAUAAUCGCAAUAUUCUCAACACCCACAACCACACAGUAAUUUUAAAACAAGGAACUCCACUAUUUUCCAUUAUUUUUCGCCCAUCCUUUUCUCUUUCCAUGUCAGUAGGUAUCGUAUUAGGGGGCUAGCGAUUUCUUCGAGUUUACGAAUUCAGGAUUGAAGCAUGGGUUUAAACUAUGCGAAUAUCUAUUUCUACGCUCUCUUGCAUUGCAGCUGAAUUUUUCAAACUUACUUGAAUUUCAUGCAGAUGCAUUUUCUUUGCGACGCAUGGCACGUGAGUUGUUACCAUAUUUUGUUUAGCUUCAGUAGUAUACAACGGAUCAAAUCUGUGCUUAUGAGCAUUUGUUACCCUAAUUUAAUUAUAUUUAUAUCAGUAACCUUGAUGUAUCAAUUCCAUAAUUCCUCUUAAACUAAAUAAUUAGAUGCACCUAAGAUAUUCUUGUUGUGAGAAAUCACAUCAUGGGUUAUUAUCUUUUUACUGUUUGAACUAGUGGAACCUAUUACUGCGUUUUGAUAAUCAAUUAGCUCUGAGUUGAUUUUGUUUUGUUUAAACAGCUAACGAUAUUGCGUAAUUGGUUACAUAUUAUUAGUUUCAAUUUUUUGUUUUGUUACUUGUGUACUAAUCUAUUAAAAUUGUAUAUGCACCUUGGAGGUAUUAUUGUUAAGUUUAAUGCAUAUGUGAAUGAGGAUUCUCACCCUCAAUUAUGCUCUCUAAUUUCCUCUUACUCUCUCUCCAUAUUCAUUACUCCAUUUUUCACCAUCCUUAUGAUUCCAAGUUUUAACAAUUCUUGUUUACGUAUAGUAAAAUGUCACUCGUAACCUAUUUUGAUUGGAUGCUUUUUCAUGAGAUCAAUCUUGGAUUUUUACCCUUGUAAUCCAUUGCUCUAUGCUAGAAAAUAAAUCUGAAAAAUUUAUCUGUAAUAAAAUGAAAUCAAGUAUAAUAUAAACCUAUUUUGAUUGGAUGCUUUUUCAUGAGAUCAAUCUUGGAUUUUUACCCUUGUAAUCCAUUGCUCUAUGCUAGAAAAUAAAUCUGAAAAAUUUAUCUGUAAUAAAAUGAAAUCAAGUAUAAUAUAUAAAAGGAAUGCUUAAUUUGAUCCUUCAAAACAUAUUUUUACAAGAGGUUUUUACCGUACAAUUAAUAGCUAAAAGUUCAUAGAAUUUUACUUCUUUAGAAUAAUCUCUCAUUUUAGAUAUAAAAGUAAAACAUAUAAGUAAGCAACUGGUUGAUGAAAAUUUCACAACUUUUGAAACAGUAUGUAGUAACACUUUAAUUUCAAGGAUUAAUUAAUUUGGUAACCAAGACCAUAACUGCGUAUUAAAGUAGCUAAUAAAAAGUUUAUUCUUUUGUAAUGCAGAAUAUGUAAGAAAGAAACAUGGAGUAUAAGAAGUAAAGCCAUGGUCCCCUGCCACCGAUUUCAGCUAUAAGAAUUGCAAGUAUGCUCUUUGUCUGGUAAUGGAGAUGAUGAAGCCUAUACGCAUUGAAGGGACGUGCAAGGCUACAAGUAGUGAACUGCAAUGGCAAACACCGUGUUUGAUGGAGAGCUAGAAGCUCCGGACGUGCAUUGACAGUGCACAAAANNNNNNNNNNNNNNNNNNNNNNNNNNNNNNNNNNNNNNNNNNNNNNNNNNNNNNNNNNNNNNNNNNNNNNNNNNNNNNNNNNNNNNNNNNNNNNNNNNNNNNNNNNNNNNNNNNNNNNNNNNNNNNNNNNNNNNNNNNNNNNNNNNNNNNNNNNNNNNNNNNNNNNNNNNNNNNNNNNNNNNNNNNNNNNNNNNNNNNNNNNNNNNNNNNNNNNNNNNNNNNNNNNNNNNNNNNNNNNNNNNNNNNNNNNNNNNNNNNNNNNNNNNNNNNNNNNNNNNNNNNNNNNNNNNNNNNNNNNNNNNNNNNNNNNNNNNNNNNNNNUUUGUAAUGCAGAAUAUGUAAGAAAGAAACAUGGAGUAUAAGAAGUAAAGCCAUGGUCCCCUGCCACCGAUUUCAGCUAUAAGAAUUGCAAGUAUGCUCUUUGUCUGGUAAUGGAGAUGAUGAAGCCAUUAGCCACCUCCUCUAUCAGACAUAGGUGUAAAGCAUUAUGCUUCCAUAGCCAUGCAAGCUGCAGAAUGUCCAAUUCUCAACAUCCCACUUUCAAUGACGUGUCCAACCUUCACCACCCUCUCUUCUCUAUAAAUUACCACUUCUCAUUAAGGUUCUCCGCAUCACAACCAACAUUCUCUUAGUAUCUCUCUUCAUGGCUAAGCUUCUUGCACUUUCUCUUUCAUUCUGUUUUCUACUUUUGGGUGGCUGUUUUGCUUUGACAGAACAGCCACAGCAAAAUGAGUGCCAGCUAGAACGCCUCGAUGCCCUCGAGCCUGAUAACCGUAUAGAAUCGGAAGGUGGGCUCAUUGAGACUUGGAAUCCCAACAACAAGCAAUUCCGAUGUGCUGGUGUGGCCCUCUCUCGUGCUACCCUUCAACGCAACGCCCUUCGCAGACCUUACUACUCCAAUGCUCCCCAAGAAAUUUUCAUCCAACAAGGUUACUUAUUUUGAUCUUAUACCAACUUCUUUACGUACAUUACAUGCAUAUUAGCAUACUAAUUAGUGUUCUACUAUACCAAUUACAGGUAAUGGAUAUUUUGGCAUGGUAUUCCCCGGUUGUCCUGAGACCUUUGAAGAGCCACAAGAAUCUGAACAAGGAGAGGGACGCAGGUACAGAGACAGACAUCAAAAGGUUAACCGAUUCAGAGAGGGUGAUAUCAUUGCAGUUCCUACUGGUAUUGUAUUUUGGAUGUACAACGACCAAGACACUCCAGUUAUUGCCGUCUCUCUUACUGACAUUAGAAGCUCCAAUAACCAGCUUGAUCAGAUGCCUAGGGUGAGCACUGAGCAUAAUUAAACUUCCCAUAUAAGAUAAUAUGUUGUCCAAAACAGUAACAUAGAUUCUAUCUAUCUAUGUUUGACAGAGAUUCUAUCUUGCUGGGAACCACGAGCAAGAGUUUCUACGAUACCAGCAUCAACAAGGAGGAAAGCAAGAACAAGAAAAUGAAGGCAACAACAUUUUCAGUGGCUUCAAGAGGGAUUUCUUGGAAGAUGCUUUCAACGUGAACAGGCAUAUAGUAGACAGACUUCAAGGCAGGAAUGAAGACGAAGAGAAGGGAGCCAUUGUCAAAGUGAAAGGUGGACUCAGCAUCAUAAGCCCACCCGAGAAGCAAGCGCGCCACCAGAGAGGCAGCAGACAAGAGGAAGAUGAAGAUGAAGAGAAGCAGCCGCGCCACCAGAGAGGCAGCAGACAAGAGGAAGAGGAAGAUGAAGAUGAAGAGAGGCAGCCGCGUCAUCAAAGGAGAAGAGGAGAGGAGGAAGAAGAAGACAAGAAAGAGCGCCGCGGCAGCCAAAAAGGCAAAAGCAGAAGGCAAGGAGACAAUGGGCUUGAGGAAACAGUUUGCACUGCUAAACUUCGAUUGAACAUUGGCCCGUCUUCAUCACCAGACAUCUACAACCCUGAAGCUGGUAGAAUCAAAACUGUUACCAGCCUGGACCUCCCAGUUCUCAGGUGGCUCAAACUAAGUGCUGAGCAUGGAUCUCUCCACAAAGUAUGUUUUUUCAUAUUUUAAUUUGUUUUUCCAUGAAUCAAUUUCAUGUCGAACUAUGUGCUAACUCAUUACAAUCUUCAUACAGAAUGCUAUGUUUGUGCCUCACUACAACCUGAAUGCAAACAGUAUAAUAUACGCAUUGAAGGGACGUGCAAGGCUACAAGUAGUGAACUGCAAUGGCAACACCGUGUUUGAUGGAGAGCUAGAAGCCGGACGUGCAUUGACAGUGCCACAAAACUAUGCUGUGGCUGCAAAGUCACUAAGCGACAGGUUCUCAUAUGUAGCAUUCAAGACCAAUGAUAGAGCUGGUAUUGCAAGACUUGCAGGGACAUCAUCAGUUAUAAAUAAUCUGCCGUUGGAUGUGGUUGCAGCUACAUUCAACCUGCAGAGGAAUGAGGCAAGGCAGCUCAAGUCCAACAAUCCCUUCAAAUUUCUAGUUCCAGCUCGUCAGUCUGAGAACAGAGCUUCGGCUUAGAUUUCGCACCAAAUCAAUGAAAGUAAUGAAUAAGAAAACUAAGGCUUAGAUGCCUUUGUUACUUGUGUAAAAUAACUCGAGUCAUGUACCUUUUUGCGGAAACAGAAUAAAUAAAAGGUAAAAUUUCAGUGCUCUAUGCUUUUCUACUCCAAGUUAUAACCAGAUGAUAUAUAACAAUCACAAUAAAUAAAUGUGAGUAAAAAAAUAUUGAAGAAAAAUGAUGUAUUGGAAUUAUAACUAGCCGGACUGGAUUUAAGGAGUUACAAUGAAAUUUUUUGAGAUAGCUUGGAGGAUGUUUGAUUCUAGUAGAUUUUUUCACACUGUUAUGGGUAUUUUAAAUAUAAAUAAUGUGGGUAAUAAUAGGGAUGCAUAUUAGAGUUGGAGUCAUAAAUGUAACUGGGGAUCCAUGAAGGAAUCAUAAAAAAAGAACAGCAUCAUCAUCAGUGGCAUAGUGAGUGACAUUGGAAGCAAAUGAAGUGACAUUAUCAUUGUGAUACUUAUAAGGAAAAAUAUCCGCUUAAAAAAACAUGUCUAGAAAUGAAUGUGCUAUCCAGAUACAUGUCAUAAAGAUCAUAAACCUCAGGUUUACAUCAGACAAAAAUCCACUUCCUAACUCUAGGGUCAAGCUUAUCCCUUCUUAGCAUCAAGGUGUUGGCAAAGGAUAAGCAACAAACACUUUUAGAUCAAUAAAAGUAGGUGAAGAUUGAAACAAAAUCUCAUAGGUAGUUAUGUUGUUUAUCACAUGAGAAAAGGCAAUUUAUUAAUGCCGAGAGUGACAUGGCAUAAAGCAAAAGACCAAAACCGUUUUGAAAGUCUUGAGGGAAAAAGCAAAGAUCUAAUAACAUUCAAUAGGUGUCUAUGUUUUCUCUCAACAACAGAAUUUAUUGUGAAGUUUCUACACAAUUCUGAUGUAAAAUGCUGAAGGAGAUAUAAAAGGAAGACAUAUUAAGUUACACUCCAUUAUCACUUUGUAGAAACAAAUUUAACAAAAACUAGAAAUGCAAGAUUUAGUGCCAAACUUAUUUUUCAUAAAGAUUGCUCAAGUAAAUUUAGAAAAUGUUGUCAACAAUAGUAAAGGAAAAUUGAUAAUUUUUAAGGAAAUGUUGAUAAUAGACCCCAAAUGUCCAUUUGUAUGAGAUCAACACAUUUUAAAGAUACCUGAACACUAGUAGGAGAAGGUAAUUUUGUUGGUUAGAAAAAUGACAAUGAUCACAAAUGAUGCUCUUAUUAGAUUAUAUGUAUUUAAAAUUCUUAAAAAGUUGUUCUAAAACAAUGUGAGAACAUAAAGCAUAUACUCUAACACGGACACAAGCAAGUGUGUGAAUCCGAUAAAUAUGUUUUAUCGAAGUCUGGUGUGUUUGUAGGAUUUGGAUAUUAUAAUAAUGGUAUGUUUAUGAUGAAUUUGAAUGGAGUUCCUAAUGAUUCUGGUUCUGUAUUUAUGUCCUUCGAAGUUAAUCAAUUCUAUCGUUAUGGGCAUGCCUCGUCUAGGACACGUACAUUAUAAAAGAAUGCAUGAAAUGUCUAAAGAUGAUUUAAUUCCUGUUUUGAUAAAAAUGUAGAAAAUUGUAAAACUUGCAUGUUAACAAAGAUCACUAGGCAACUUUUAAAAGUAUAACAAGGAAAUCUGUCAUUCUUGAGUUGAUACACUAUAGUGAUUUAUGUGAUUUGCAUGCUACUCCAUCAUUAGGACAUAAAAAAUAUUUUGUCACUUUCAUAGAUGAUGCAUCUAGAUUCUGCUAUGUUUAUUUGCUGCAACGCUAAGGACGAAUCCUUAGAUAAAUUCCAAAAUUUAUAAAACUGAAGUUGAAGUGCAACAUAAUGUGUUGAUUAAAACAUUACGUACAAGAUAGAGUGAUGAAUAUUAUGAUCUGUGAUUUUUCCAAUCCGUAGGAAUCAUUCAUGAGACUACGGCACCUUAACACCAUCAACAAAAUGGUGUGGCUGAAAGGAAAAUAGAGUGUUUAGAAAAUGGUGAAUGCCAUGUUAUCUUACUCUGGUUUGAGUGAAAGGUUUUGGGGAGAAGCUAUGUUAACGGCUUGCUAUUUGUUAAAUAGGGUUCCCUAAUAAAAGGAACAAAGACUACCCCAUAUGAACUUUGGUAUAAAGAAACGAUCCAACUUAACAUUUUCUACGUGUUGGGGUGUAGGGCCGUGUUAGACUCCCGGACCCAAAAAGGAAAACUUUGGAUGAAAAGGGUGUAGCUUGCAUCUUUGUUGGAUAUGCUGAGCACUCCAAGCCUAUAGGUUUUAUGUUAUAGAACCUAAUGACUCGACUUCUAUUAACAUAAUUAUAGAAUCGAGAGAUGCAUAUUUGAUGAGAUUGGUUUCUCUCUAUACCUAGACCAAAGGACUCUAUACCUAAUUGCAGAUGAAUCUCUAAGGGAUGAAUCAUUCAAAUGAUGUCCCAAGUGAGACACUUGAACGCCCGUAGGAGGCAAAAGAGCUAGAAAAUCUAGAUCUUAUGGAUCUGAUUUUCAACUAUUUAGUUGAGGGAUCAAAGGAUCACGAUUGACACUCAUAACUAUUAUUGCCUAUAGUAAUAGAGGAGGAUCAAAGAACGUAGAUGAAGCUGUGAAAUCUUCGUAGAUUUCUGGCUUUUUUGGAAAGAAGCAAUUGACGAAGCGAUUGGUUCUAUCAUGAAAAUAAUAACUUGGGUAUUAUCUGAUUUACACCAGGUUGCAAAACCAUUGGUUUGCAAUGGAUCUUCAAAAAGAAAGAUGAAAGUCGAUUGGUACAAUGACAAUUACAGCUAGAUUAAGUUAUCCAAGGCUUCAGAGAAAAGGAGAGGAUUGAUAUUUCGAUACCUAUGCUCGCUGUUUGCCCGUAUCACUAACUAUUAGAUUGUUGAUUGCCUUGGCGGCUCAUUCAUAAUCUAGUGAUUCAUCCAAAUGGAUGUAAAACAUACAUUUCUGAAUGGUGAUUUUGGAGGAAGAAGUGUAAUAUAGCGCAAACCUGAAGGAUUUGUAAUGCCUGGUAAUGAGCCAUACAAGUGUGUAAGCUAGUUAAGAUUCGUUGUAUGGGCGUGAAACAAGGCUCCGCAGCAGUGGCAUCAAAAGUUUGAUAUGAGGUUGUUAUUGUCUAAAUGGUUUCAUUCAAAACCAAGCUGACAAAUGUGUGUAUAGCAAAUUUGAUACUUCCGGUAAAGGAGUUUUCAUUGUUUAUAUGUUGAAUGACAUGUUGAUCAUUUGGCACCUGACCAAAAUUCAAGGUGAUAAAACGAAGAAUUUCUAUAUCAAUAGUCUCCAUAGAGGAUAAUGGGAGAAGCGACGUUAUUGCUUGGUAUUAAGAUUAACGGAGGAAUAAGGGGAUUGUAAUUACGCAAUCAAUUACAUUGAGCAAAAUACUCUAAGAAGUUUAAUUUGAUAAAAGUUGUUCUCCGGAUAAAGGUCUCGCCAUGGAUCCGGGAGAAAAGCUUAAUGACCAAAUACAGGUAAACACUGUGGGAUCAACUCGACUAUUCAAAAGCUAUAGGCUCUUUGAUGUAUGCUAAUGAAUUAACAACUAAGACCGGCAUAUUGGCAUAUGCGGUUGGAAAGUUGACAGAUUUACAGUAAUACCAGUAGACAUCAUUGGCAUGCGAUAACUAGGGUAUCAGUUAUUUGAGGGUAACAAUGAAUUAUGGAUUGUCCAUAUAAUGGGAUUUCCUUCGUGUAGAGGUUAUUCGGAUGCUAGUUGGAUAAAUAAUGCCUGAAGAAUUCAUCCUCUACAAGUGGAUGGGUGUUCUUGCUUGGGGGAGGGUGCCUCGUCAUGGCUUCAAGAAGCAAACAUGUAUAACUGGUUCCACAAUGAAUACUGAAGUUUCUGUAGGCAUUAGCUGCUGUGGUAAAGAAGGGAAUGGCUAAGAAUUUUGUAAUAUAGAAUUCCGAUAUGGCCUAAACCGUAUCAACCAAAUUUCUAUCCGUUUGUGAUAGUACGCCAACAUUGACUAAAAGCUUGAACGUCCAAAUUUACAAUGGAAGUCCUAGACAUUUUGGGUGUUUAGACAUAGUAUGAUUAGGGAAUUAAUCAUGAAUAGGGGUGAUUCGUAUUGUGAGUUUGUUCGGUUCGCGAACAAAACUAUAGCUGACACUUGACGAAGGGGUUUAGCUAGAGACUUAGUGAAGAAGUCGGUAUUGGGAAUGGGAUUAAAGUAUCCAUUUAAAUCUAUUUAAGCUAUGGUAUAACCCAAUUCCCCUUCUAAUACAACAUUAGAAGCAGAAUCAAUGUGGAGAGAUCACUGUUAAGAAUUGGAGCAAUUGUCCUUAUCUUCCAGGUAUGUGUCAGAACCCUGCAAAGUGAUGGCUGGUUGAAUUAAUAUCUCUUAAUGGUUUUCUUGGAAAAUUGCAAAAUGCAUGUGCAAAGAUUAAAAAGAAUCACCUAUGUGAGCAUGAUUUGCCGCUUCAAGAGCUGGACUUGUUCCUAUAUGCUUAAUUAAUGGAUAAGGACACAUGGCUUGUAAAGUGUCAAGUAAUGGGAAAUAGUAGAGUAUUGUAAGAAAGCAUAUGUGUACUAUAUCUUCAGACACCUCAAAGGAUUGACGGGUUCAAUCGCUAGACACCUCGAUUUUCGAGUAUUUGGAAUGUGUAAAUUUGUACGUAAGAUAAAAUUCAAUCGCAAGACAAUUUCAAUUUAUGCAUUUGUUUGAUCGUUAUACCUGUGUGUAUAGCCCUUGUAAUAUAUUAUUGCAAUGAUACUAGAGUAAAUCAAGGAUACACUAAAUGGGGGGAUUGUUGUGAUUUUAGUAUCAUCAAUGUUAUUUUAGUAAGUAAUGUGAUUUACUACAGGGCGAUGCAAUUAAUGCGUUAAAGCUUGGAAAAUGAGUUGGGAUAGUGCGGAGUGCACAGCUCGUCGAGCCAAAACGUAUAAGUGAAUGCGAAAAUAAUUGAAACUGGUUCCAAGGGGAGAAGCCGCUGACGGGGUGUGGGGCAGGCGCCCCGUUCGAAAUUUUCUUGAAUCAGUUGAAUCCUUUCCCCAACCGACGUAACCGGUUUCCUGAACAGUUGCGUCCUUUUCGUUCUGUUAUUGAUCUCCCCAUAAUAAGGAGUCAAUUUGGCCCUCAGUUUAAAAAAAGAGAAUAUACGAACCAAACUUUCUCUCUACAUUCCUGAAACAUUUUUUCUUUUCGCAGAAACAAAUUGUUUCUUCAAGAUUAUCCCCAGCAAAGAUUAUCGUGAACCCCAGGCAAGAAUAGGGUUCGAAAUUACUUUUUUCGGAAAAGUGGUACGAACACGCUUCUUCGAAGUUUAUCCAGGAUUAUCAUACCCGAUUAUCUAACAGAAAAGUUGUCAACAAUAGUAAGCGAAAACUUGAUAAUUUUUAAGGAAAUGUUGAUAAUAGACCCCCAAAUGUCCAUUUGUAAAUGAAGUCAUCAACACUUUUUUAAAUGAGUACCUGAACACUAGUAGGAAGAAGGUAAUUUUGUGUUGGUUUAGAAAAAAUGACAAUGGAUCACAAAUGAUCUCUUAUUAGAUUAUAAUGUAUUUAAAAUUCUUAAAAACCAAUUGUUCUAAAACAAUGUGAGAAAACAUAAAGCAUAUACUUCUAACACGGACAACUGAUAAUGACAUGAGACAUGUCGCGAACACUAUUGAUAUAAAAACAUAUACUGACACUAUAUAUAUUAUAUAUAUAUAUAUAUUAUAUAUAUAUAUAUAUAUAUAUUAUAUAUAAUUAUAUAUAUAUAAUAUAUAUAUAUAUAAUAUUAUAUAUAUUAUUACAAUUAAAUAAAUAAAUAUUAUUUAUAAAGUCUAAAUUAAGAAUCAAAAUAUAUACAUAGACAUCUAAAGUUGAGAAAUUUAUUUAUCCAUCUACUAUAAAAAAAUGUUUAAAAUAUUUAAGUAUCUUUAAAUCCUCCAUGAUUACGCAUUUUUUCCACGUCUUCCAUUUCUAUAUCUAUGUGUUCAAGAAGUGAUAAAGUAUUGAAAACAAAGAGGAUAAAUUUGUACAUCAAGCUCUGCCAUAGUCAUGAGACAGCAGAAUGAACGAAAGUAAAUCACGAAAUGGUUCAUAACAUUGACUUCAAUAAAUGGUGCCAGUGCUUAAUACAGUUAAUUCAAGAAUCGACUCCAGAGUUACCAAGAACACUCGACCGGAAAACCCAGUCUGACCAUGAGAAGUUUGUUCGACCGAAACGAUGACCAGGAACACCAAGUGCUGCGAACCAAUACCCAGGGUGGUCCAACGGUCUCGACCGUUUGUGUUAGCAAUAGAAAUCCAGAUCCCGACAUGUGUCAAGGAAGGUUCAACAAGAUGCAAUGGCUGGGGAACAAAAUUUAUAGGCCAUUGUCGAAUGAAUCAUGGUUCGAAAUGGGGUAAACCCAAGCCUUCAAAGGCCAACGUAUCCGUCUCCAUUACCAAACUUUGUUUUACAAACAAAACUACCUUAGGGAUGGAAGGUUCCAAAGUUCACCAAGUUCACUGGAGACACUAAAGAGUCCACUGUGGAACAUGUUUCUAGAUAUCAAACAAAAGCUGGUGACAUAGAAACAAUGAGGACUUGAAAAUGAAAUAUUUCCCAAGUUCCCUCACAAAGAACGCGUUCACUUGGUUUACGAUGCUACUUCCACAAUCCGUCCAUACGUGGAAGCAAUUAGAGAGAUUGUUCCAUGAACAGUUCUAUAUGGGACUUUUGAAAAUAAGUUUGAAAGAACUGGCCAGCGUCAAACGAAAGACCUCUGAGGCAAUCGAUCAAUAUCUUAACAGGUUUAGACUUUUAAAAACAAGAUGAUUUACUCAAGUCCCUCAGCACGAAUUAGUCUAAAUAGACGCAAGCGGUUUAGACUAUUCUAUCAGGAAAAAGUUAGACACACAAUAUCUUAAGGAUAUGGCACAAUUAGCUGAUAGAGUUCGAAAGAUCGAACGCUUGAAAGUUAAAAAAACCAAAAUUGAUAGAUACCAUAAGAAAUAGAAAGUGUUUUAUGUAGCAGCUGACGAAUACUCUUCUGACGAUGAAGAGCUUGUCGACGAAAGCGAAGUCAACGUGGCUGAGCUCAAGCCAGGACCUCCUUACACGUGUAAAUUGUUGAAACCAUCAAACGGGAAAAGUCCCAUCGAAAUGGAGAAAACGGAUCAAUACGUUGCUAAAACUUACACUUUCGAUGUGUUUAAAUGUGACGAGAUAUUUGAUUUAUUAGUUAGAGAUGGUCAAAUUAUUAUUCCUCAAGGUUUAAAAGAUCCUUGAUCGGGAAAAUAGCAAGUGUACUAUUUUGCUGAUGUAGUAAUAAGAGGAAUGUUUCCCAAAGAUCGAUCUCGAGGAUUGCGCAGCAAUAUAUGAGUAAACAAUCACUCAAUUGAAUAAAAAGUAAUAGUUUGGGUUUUGUAAAAUUCACUGUAAGGAGAAAUAAAAUAAAUAAAUAUUUUCACAGAUUAUAAUGAUAUGCCAAAGAUGGUGUAUGAAAAUCUCUUGUAAUGACCCUUGAGUGUAUAUCUCCUUAAUAAUGAAAAUUGUUUCAAUUACCAGAUCUUAAGAUUGUUUUCCUCUAAGACCUCGGAGGAAAACAUUUGGUAUUCAAUCUAACCUCUAAGUCCUUAGGUGAUUAUGAUGAAACCAAGUCAUUUUAAUUUAACAAAAAUAAACCAGUAACCAUAGGGUUCCCUAGUCCUAGGUGAUAUCUAUCAAAACCUUAACAAUUGCAAUCCUAUUAAUCGUUAACCAUACACCAAUCUUAAUUUUUCUGAUAAAGAAGCAUUACACAGAUUACACAGUGAAAUUGAUAACAAAUAACAUAUAUUAAGGAAAAUCUAACAUCAGAGUCAUUACAUGAUCAAUUCAGGGACACCCCCUGGCAUUGGGGGGUUUAGCCUCUCAUAUUAUUCAAAUUAGAUACAAGAUAAAAUUGAGACAUUACAUAAAGAUCGGAAUCCCGUUGAUCUUCAAUCGCGUCCGCUCUUGAAGGAUCUCCGUUCUUCUUCGCUUUCCACUGCUUCAAUCUUGAUCGUCUCUAAUUUUUGAUCGUGUAAAAAGUCCCUCUCUUCAUAUUCAAAUCCCCUGUAAAUAGUUCCUGAUGACAAUUUUUAUCUAGCAAAAGUCCAAAAUACCCUCCGACAUAAGCCGUGCCAAAAACAACACAAAACUGGAAAAUCAAGUGUCCAAGCCAACACUGGCCGUGUCAGGCAACACGACAGGCCGUGUUGGGCUUCUGGUGCAAACAGGCUUGACACACCCCUUCAGGGAGGCUGACAAGGGCACCUGUGUCAGCUCCCUGUUUUUCCUUUUCCAAGUGUCUUCUCCUGACACGGCUUGUGUUGGGCAACACGGGUGGUCGUGUCAAGACUACUGUACUGUUCAAUUUUCUUCUUCCGACGGGCCCAGAACGUCUGAUUUGCUUAUCUAUCCCUCCGGUACACUUGCUUACACCUGAAAUCAAUAGAACUACCAUAAAGGGACAUAAAAUGGAGUAUGAUGAUGCAUAUAACAUGUAAUCAACAACUGGAAACAACAAUACAAAACUUCUAAAUUACUAAACAAAACAAUAAAAUAAGUGGACUAAUGUGUUACCGACUUCGUACAAAGGUGCCGAAUGAGUGUCAGAAAACAAGUAAAAUUGGAGACUGAUCACAACCCCAAACUUAUCUCAUUGCUUGUCCUAAAGUGAUGCUCGAGACAUCAGGACGGAUACCCCCAAAUUUCGCAUCCACAAUGCUACUGCGAUCUUUCACGAUCUCCUGUUCACUUUUCAAUCACAGUUUUACUCUUUCCCGAUUUCCGACUUCAACUACACUUUCCCUUUGACGCAUCUUUUGGCCUGUAGCUUUUCACACUCUCACCAAAUCUCUCGGGAUCAAAGUGUUUACACUCAAGAAAAAUAGAGCAUGCAAAGUCAACUCUUAAGUUUGAAAUACAUAUACCUUCAUAACAAGGAACACACAACACAAACAAUUCGAGGAUUUUUUGGGUUAUAGCGGGGCUAGGGUGUAAGAUGGUGAGUCAACACACAAAAAAAAAGGAAUACUAGGGGUUCAGGCUCAGAUUUCAUGUUAUUACCCUCGUAAUUAUUAUUCAAUUUAAAAAUCGGGGGUAUUUCUUUGGGACACCGUUCUUGUUGGGAUUCAUUGGCUCAUAUAUUUUCUUUUAUUGCUCUUUUGAGCAUGAUUUUUGCCAACCUUAAUACUUCUCGAUAAGUGCUUCAUGAUCUUUUUUUCUCUUUUUUUUCCUUUGAAUUUUCUCAUCUUUUUGCACUUAUCUACAAUUCAUCGGUGUUCCCAACAUUUUCAUGAAACCCCAAGCUUAGGCUUUUCCGCAAUUUCGGGAUAAACAACACUUAUCUAAGCAAGAUGUGGUAGUGUAUGAGUUUAUGGUUAUAUACAGUGGUUAAAUAACAAACAAAACGAAAUAUGGCUCAAAAUUUGGUGAACGAAGGGUAAUAAUGGCGGGUUGGCUGGAAAGGCUCAGGGUUAAAAUAAAAAUAAUGCCUCAGUGUGUACAGUGUGUUAUGAAAUUUCAGUAUCUCUAAUGCAAACCCAGAGAGACAGAGACAUACCUGAACAACUCUCAUGAUGACAAGUGUUUGGCUUUUUGUAGUCCUCACCAUGUUUUGUCUAGCUUGCAGGCUUCCAAGAUAUCUCUCAGUGUAAUGUAGCUUCGUCUUCACUUCGGUUACAGAGUAUCCCUAAGAAGUCCAUUGACAGAGAGUCGCGUCCAAUUUUUCGGGCCAGUAGCAUCAACUUUCGGGGGUUUCCAGAAGAGCAAGUAGAGGGGUGUGUCUUCCAUCCAAUCGCUCCAAGCUUCAUCAUUCAUCCGGCACGAAUGUCCUUUAAUUGUAACACAUAGAGUACCACACAACUAAUUAAAAAAAUACUAAGAACAAAACAAACAACAAAAAUAACAAAUAAUAACCCCCCCNNNNNNNNNNNNNNNNNNNNNNNNNNNNNNNNNNNNNNNNNNNNNNNNNNNNNNNNNNNNNNNNNNNNNNNNNNCCCCCCCCCCCCCCCCCACACACACACACACUUGAACUAAACAUUGUCCGUAAUGUUUAAUCCAAGAUAAAGAGGGACUCACACCGGUUCAUUGAGGUGGAGGAAAUUGCAACAUCAGAGGUUGCAUCAUCGCGUGCAUCUCGUCCAUCAGAGUCUCUUGACGGGCUUGCUAUACGCCUUAGCGUGUUUGCUCUGCUCAGAGAUCGCCAAUUUCUGUUUGCAUCCAUGACCAUUGGUUCGGCAUCACAUACCAACACCUGGGUGCAUGGAGUCCUCUGGUGGAGCAGCAAAUUACUCUUGAUCCUGCAUCUCUUCCUGUACUUCUUCCUCAGGUGGGUCACCUGCAGCAAAUGUGUCAGCAUUGUGCUCGUCCAUAUCAUCUUGGACGACACUCUCAUAUAGCCAAUUGGCCGUGUUGGAAAUUCUAAUUCGUGCAGGGUCAGGAAGAGCCAUAAUAAACUGACCUGAACUCAUUAAGGCAUAAUAAUCAGAAACUUUUGAAAUCAUACCUUGCUAGACCAAUGUGUUCAUGUCCAGUUUGUGCUUACCUGCCACCGAUGUCUCAUUAAGUGCAGUAGGGUCAUAUCCGAAAUGGUGGGAAAUUUGAGUGAUGAUGCCUCCUAUGGAGAUUCCCCAUUGGGUUGCUCUCCCCACGUGACCCAGAUAAUCCGCAAUAAAUGCUGCAAUGCUCACAGCUACCCGGUUUGCCAUGGAAAAUAAAAAGAACAGUUCCCUCUGGGUGGCUACACCUGUGCUAUCACCCCUGUCAAAAAGUGUGAAAGCCAACACCUUCUAGGCAUACCUGAAACAAUGAUUUUGAAUGCUCAAUUCCUUCGCCCCUUUAGCCACAUAGUCUGAUCGUCCCGUAAUGGCCAACCAGAAAUUCUUAGCAUCAAAACUGUCUGGUACAGCUCUGGGGCCAUAAAAGGGUAGGCGAAGAAUUUUACCCAGCUGCUCCACUGUCAACUCGUGGUCGACAUUGUAUAACCUGAAAGACAUUGUUCCUCCAAAAUACAUUGUUGUACCCGUCCAACCUUUUUUCAGCUUGAACCCAAUUGUGCUCAAGAAUUCUAAAGUGAUGCGCUCAUAGAUUGGCGCUUCACAAUGCACAAACUCAAGCAUUCCGAGGACAUGGAACAUCCUAUCCAAUCCUUCAGACAAACCUAAUUAAAAUAAAGUAUCGGAGCAAAGGUACCUUGUCGGAGUGAUUUUCCUUUUGACGUGAGAUGUGUACCUCCGUUCAUGCUCUGGGUUGUCAAAGAUGAUAUCAUGUGAGUUCGGAUGACGGAUUGUCCGUUUCCAUGGACGGGAUGAUUCCACAUCUGUUUGCUUCCUUUUGGAAAUUCGUUUCAGUGACAUUUUUUAUUCCUGCAACACAAUUUAUCACCCAAAAAAAAGUAUGGAAAACGGAAAAAAGAUUACCAUAGCCUUGUAGAGGAUGGCGAGUAGAGAAACUUUUGUGAAGGGUGCCAACAAUUUGGAUAGAGUAAGGUGCUAAAGUGCGGAGCUUUAAGGUGGUGUGGUUAUGGAGGAAGGUUAAGAACAAAUGAGGAAGGAGAGGGAUGAUGUGAAAAUGAGAGAGAGAGUGAAAGAAAAUCAGAAUUUAUUGGUAGAUUAAGGGUAAAAUGUGUUUAAAUGGUGGAAAAUCCGGGUGGGGUCCACAAAAGCACAAAAAGAAUUUUUUUGAAAAAUAUGGUCGUUGGGUCUGACACGGGCCAUGUCAGCUGACACAGGUGGCCAUGUCAGGCCAUUGUAAUUUGAUGGCUCCUUCAGUAGAGUUGACACGGGACGUGUCAGUUGACACAGGAGGCCAUGUCAUCCUACUGUAAAAUUUUUGCUUUUCCCUUGCUUGCCUGACAUGGGUCGUGUCAGGUGACACGAGCACCCGUGUCAGGGCCCUGUUUUUCCAAAUAAUUUCUUAUUUUUCGAUUGUUUUUGGUUAUUACCCUGUUCUCUGGUAUCCGACAAUCUUAUAUGAGUUUAACUCAACCUUUCUCUCCUGUACUAUGCGAUGUAACUGUGAACCUACGUAUAAACCUGUAAACACACCAAACAUGGAAAUAGUUAAAAUAAAACCGCGUGAGUUUCCUCCCACGAAGCGCUGCGUUUAACGUCGCAUGGCUCGACGGUCGUCUCCCUCAUCCGUGGAGACGAACACUAUCGAUCAGACCACUUUGUGACGGACCCGACCACCUGGAUUUCAACUUUCCUGGAAAAAGCUUUAAUCUGGAGUUGAACAAGAGCACCAACUGUCCCUCGACAAACUCUUUUCUCUAUAGCUUCUGAUCGUUCGAUUUCUUUGUCUUUUCUUUGUAUAGCUUGAUGUUCUCAUAUGCUUGAUUCCGAAACUCCUCUAACUCGUGGAGCUGAAGGAUUCGGGACUCACCUGCUUUAGCCAGAUCAUAAUUCAAGAAUUUGGAUGCCCAAAAUGCUUUGUGCUCCAACUCUAGUGGCAAGUGACAAGCUUUACCAUAAACCAACUGAUACGGAGACAUACCUAUGGGUGUUUUGAAAUCCGUUAUGUACGCCCAUAAUGCAUCUUCUAAUUUUAAUGCCCAAUCUCUCCUAGAUGCACAAACAGUCUUUUCCAAUAUUUGCUUUAUCUGCCUGUUGGACACUUCGACCUGGCCACUCGUUUGAGGGUGAUACGGAGUGGCGAUCUUGUGUUUAACAUUAUACUUCUUUAGCAGAUUCUCCAUCAGUUUGUUCAAAAAGUGAGUGCCUUCAUCGCUAGUAAGUGCUCUUGGCACCCCGAAUCUCGAAAAGAUAUUAUUCUUCAGAAAUGUCACCACCACUUUAGCGUCAUUGGUGGGCAAUGCCACAUCUUUCACCCACUUUGAUACAUAGUCAACUGCUACCAAGAUGUAAUUUUUCCCAUAGGAUGGUGGAAAUGGCCCCAUGAAGUCUAUUCCCCAGACAUCAAACAAUUAAACCUCAAGCAUACCAUUUUGUAGCAUUUGAUUUCUCUUAGAAAUAUUCCCCGUUCUUUGACAUCUGUCGUAUUCUUUGACGAUGUCCUGGGCAUCUUUGAACAAUGUGGGCCAAUAUAGACCUGAUUGAAGAACUUUGGUCGUUGUUCGGUCACCAGUGAAGUGUCAUCCAUAGUCUGAAUCAUGACAAGCUCUAAGUACAUCCCUUUGCUCCUCCUCCAAGACACAUCUUCUGACCAGCCCAUCCACUCCUCUUUUGUAUAGAAAUGGGUCAUCCCACAAGUAAAACCUACAAUCACGAACAAACUUUUUCUUUUUGUUAGAAUCCACUUGAGAAGUCUCGGCUUAGAGUCUUGCUUAGCAGACAGAUAUUUCAAAGCGGCAUGGUAUGUAUACAAUACAACCUUUGAUCCUAAAAAAUAUUGCCUGAACUUGUCAAAAGCGUAAACCACAGCCAACAACUCUUUUUCCGUGGUUGCAUAGUUCAUUUGUGCCGGAUUCAACACAUGACUAGCAUAGUAAAUGACAUGUAAUAACUUCUCUCUUCGUUGUCCUAAGACUGCCCCUACAGCAAUAUCACUAGCAUCACACAUGAUCUCAAAUGGAAGAGGCCAAUCGGAGGUAAUAACAGUGGAUGCUGAAAUCAGUUUGCUCUUCAAUGUCUCAAAGGCCAUGGUGCAUUCUUUGUUGAACAUAAACGCCUUAUCUUUAACCAAUAGAGUGGUCAGUGGUUUAGCAAUUUUUGAGAAAUCUCUUAUGAGCCUGCGGUAAAAACCUGUGUGUCCUAAGAAACUCCUAAUACCCUUCUCAUUCACCAGGGGUGGGAGUUUAGAGAUCACUUCCACUUUUGCUUGGUCAACUUCAAUUCCCUUGUGGGAAAUUUUGUGACCCAACACUAUCCCCUCAUGCACCACGAAGUGGCAUUUCUCCCAAUUCAGAAUUAAAUUUGUUUUCUGACACUUGUCUAAAACAUGAGAGAGAUUAGUUAAACAGUUAUCAAAUGAGGAUCCAAAGACCGAGAAGUCAUCCAUGAAAACUUCCAUAUGCUUUUCGAGCAUGUCAGCGAAAAUGGAAGUCAUGCAUCGUUGGAAGGUGGCUGGAGCAUUACACAACCCGAAUGGCAUUCUUCGGUAAGCAAAAACACCAUACGGGCAUAUGAAUGUUGUCUUUUCUUGGUCUUCCGGCGCUACAACAAUCUGAUUAUACCCGGAGUAUCCAUCUAGAAAACAGUAGUAAUCAUGCCCGGCUAACCUCUCAAACAUCUGGUCAAUAAAUGGCAAAGGGAAAUGGUCCUUCCUAGUUGUUGUGUUCAACCUUUUGUAGUCAAUGCAAACGCGCCAUCCGGUUAUUGUCCGCAUGGGAAUUAACUCAUUUUUUUUAUUCUUUAUUACGGUGGUCCCCCCUUUCUUAGGGACAACAUGCAUCGGGCUCACCCAUGGAUUGUCAUAAAUGGGAUAUAUAAGAUCUGCAUCCAACAAUUUCACCACUUCUUUCCGAACCACUUCCUUCAUUGCAGGAUUGAGUCUUCUCUGUGGUUGGACUACCGGCUUGUGGUCGUCUUCCAUGAGAAUUUUAUGCAUGCACACAGUAGGGCUAAUACCCUUCAAAUCUUCAAUUGCCCAUCCAAUAUCAUUUUUGUACUUUUUCAAGACUUGGAUGGGCUUUUCCUCUUGGAUAUUCUGAAGGCUUGAGUUUAUGAUAGCAGUACAUUUUCCUUCUGGUUCUAGAAAGACAUAUUUAAGAUUGCCAGGCAGUUGUUUCAACUAUGUUCCCUUCUUUGGUUCUUCAUUCUCCUCAUUAGGUUGAGGUAUGUGUAAAUCCUCCCACCGACGUGGUCGAGAUCCUUUCCAUGGGGGUUGUGCGUAUAAUAAGGCUAGCACUUCAGAUUCCCCAUUGUCCAUUUCUUUAUCCGAAUUGAAAAUGGACAAACUCAACACUCUUUCCAAAGGUGACUGAGGUAUAUUCAAAGGACUAUCAUAUGUCAUCACCUGAUCCAGAACCUCUAUAGUAUGACUGGUACAAAUAUCAUCCUUGUACCUAAUGGUGUUUCGAACAUCGAUUUUCAAUUCCUCAUCAUAAACCUUCAACGUCAUUGUUCCUUCUUCUAUGUUUAUCAAGCACCGUCCCGUUUCCAAAAAGGGUCUACCCAGAAUGAGAGGGAUCUCUUCAUCUUCCGGCAUUUCAAGAAUUACAAAAUCCAGUGGGAAAACAAACUUAUCAAUCUUCACCAGAACAUCUUCAACAAUGCCCUACGGUUUCUUGACCGAAUGAUCGGAGAAUUGGAGUGUCAUCCUUGUAUAUUGCAUAAUCCCUAUACCAAGCUUCUUGUAAAUGGAUAAUGACAUGAGGCUCACACUAGCUCCCAGAUCAAUAAGAGCUUUGUUGAACGAACUAUCUCCAAUAGUAUAUGGGUUGGUGACAGCUCCUCGAUCUUUCUUCUUUAUCGGAAUCUUUAUACCCUGCAAAAUAGCACUACAAGUUUCGGUUAGAAUAAUCGGAUUAGUGUAGGUGGUACGCCUCUUCGAAAUGAUAUCCUUCAUGAACUUGGCAUAAGUAGGCAUUUGUUCAAGUGCCUCCAACAAAGGAAUGUUAAUUUCCAGCUUCUUGAACAACUCUAAGAAUUUUUCAAAGUUUUUCUCAUGUUGUCCUUUUUUCUUGUUUCUAGUGGGGAAGGGAAGCUUAACAAUCGGCUUGGGCUUAAUGACUGUUUCUUUUACAACAGGUUUUGGUGCUAACACUUCUUCCCCUAACAACUUCAUUUUCUUUGAUCUCAAGGUCCACUUCGAUCAAUUGGCCUUCCUCUUCAUCCACUUCCUCGACAACUUCAUCAGAUUUACCACUCCGUGUUGUCACCGCGCUCACAUUAUUAUGCUCUCUAGGAUUUGUUACGGUUGCACUAGGUAGAGCACCUUGUGCUUGAGAACUCGAAGCUAGUUGCUGAGUGAUUUGACCCAUUUGGACUUCAAGAUUCUUUAUGGAUGUUGUGGUGUUUUUCUGAUUGUUUCGGGUUUCUUCCUGAUAUUGAACAUUAUGGGAUGCCAUUCUUUCAAUAGCAAUUGCCCAAUCAGCUUUCUUAGGGGCAUGUUACUAUUGUUAUUGUUGAUAUUGAGUUUGGUAUUAACCAUGUUGAGGAGCAAUUCCUUUUUGGUCUUUCCAUGAGAAGUUGGGAUGAUUCUUCCAACCCGGAUUGUACGUGUUGGAAUAAGGAUUAUUCUGCUUCAAAAAAUUGAUUUCCUCCACUUGUUGAGGAGUUGCAAAACAAUAAAUAGUUUGGUACGGACCACUACAAAUUUCACAGCAGACAGUAGGAACCGGUUGGAUCUGUGCCACCUGUUGGGUACCUAUAUCCAUCGCCUCCAGCCUCUUAUCAACUUCAACAACUAUAGUAUCUUCAAUACGAAUUUUAUUAGUUUCCAUCUUUAAAUCUAUAACCCAUUCUGGUUUUCUUUUACACCUAUCGUACAACUCCAUCUGCUCAUUAGCAGCAAUAGCUUCAAUGAUCUUCUUGAUACCGGUGCCUGUUGAAAAAUUUAUGGAACCACCGGCUGCAUUAUCUAUCAGCUGUUUGGUCUUUAUUUUAAGACCAUUCACAAACAUCUGCAUUUGUUCAGUUGGAUCCAUAUUAUGAGUUAGGCAAGCUACCAGGACUCUCUUGAAUCUCUUGUAGGCGUCUCCCAAAGUUUCCCCGUCCUUCUGCUUAAAAUUCAGAAUUUCAUACCUAUUUCGCAGAAAUACCAAUGCUGGAAAAUACUCAUUUAGGAAGGCUUUUUCCAUUUCUUCCCAAGACGUGAUGCUACUGGAAGGUAAAGACUAAAACCAUUCUUCAGCUUCUUCCGCUAAGGUAAACAAGAACAUUCUCAACUUCUUGGCUUCUUCAGUGUGACCAUCAAUUUUCAGAGUGUUGCUCAUGGUCAGAAACCUUUGCAAAUACUUGUUUGCAUCUUCGUUCACUUUUCCAGUAAAAUGCUUCCUUUCAAGCUGACUAAUGGUACUCGGGUGCAGCUGAAAUUAGCCAUAUUCAUUGGUUGGUUGACAAUAGUUAAUCUUUUGGUUUGUGCAUUUGCACCUUCGUGGUCUCCCAACAGUCUUUCUGGUGGCGGUGGAACAUCAGCCAUAGUUUCGAUCUCUCUAUCAGAACCUGAAUCUGAACUUGACUGGAUGGAAAGUUGUUCUUCGUCUGAUUCCAAUCUGGCUAAUCGAGCUUGUCUGAGUUUUUUCCGCAAGGUUCUCUCGAUUUCCGCGUCAAAAGGAAAAUCAGUUGAGGCCUUACCUCACAUACAAAUAUCAGACACAGAUCAGUUGAUAUAAUCGAAACAAAAUAUUCAAAACAACGGAAAAUAAAUUUUAGUUGAAGAGUAACAAAAUUUCAAUUGAGAUAAUUUUAAACUUAUAUUUGGCAAUCCCCGGCAACGGCGCCAAAAACUUGAUCGGGAAAAUAGCAAGUGUACUAUUUUUCCGAUGUAGUAAUAAGAGGGAUAUUUCCCAAAGAUCGAUCUCGAGGAUUGCGCAACAAUAUAUGAGUAAACAAUCACUCAAUUGAACAAAAGUAAUAGUUUAGGUUUUGUAAAAUUCACUGUAAGGAAAAAUAAAAUUAAUAAAUAUUUUCACAGAUUAUAAUGAUAUGCCAAGGAUGGUGUGUGAAAAUCUCCUGUAAUGACCCUUGAGUGUAUAUCUCCUUAAUAAUGAAAAUUGUUUCAAUUACCGGAUCUUAAGAUUGUUUUCCUCUAAGACCUCGGAGGAAAACAUUUGGUAUUCAAUCUAACCUCUAAGUCCUUAGGUGAUUAUGAUGAAACCAAGUCAUUUUCAUUUAACAAAAAUAAACCGGUAACCAUAGGGUAUCCCUAGUCCUAGGUGAUAUCUAUUAUGGUUUCACUGUAUUAAAACCUUAACAAUUGCAAUCCUACUAGUCGUUAACCAUACAUCAAUCUUAAUUUUUUUGAUAGAGAAAACAUUACGCAGAUUACACAGUGAAAUUGAUAACAAAUAACAUAUAUUAAGGAAAAUCUAACAUCAGAGUCAUUACAUGAUCAAUUCAGGGACACCCCCCUAGCAUUGGGGGGUUUAGCCUCUCAUAUUAUUCAAAUUAGAUACAAGAUAAAAUUGAGACAUUACAAAAAGAUCGGAAUUCCGUUGAUCUUCAAUCGCGUCCGCUCUUGAAGGAUCUUCGUUCUUCUUCGCUUUCCACUACUUCAAUCUUGAUCGUCUCUAAUUUUUUAUCGUGUAAAAACUCCCUCUUUUCAUAUUCAAAUCCCCUGUAAAUAGUUCUUGAUGACAAUUUUUAUCUAGCAAAAGUCCAAAAUACCCUCCGGGAUAAGCCGUGCCAAAAAUAACACAAAAUUGGAAAAUCAAGUGUCCAAGCCAACACUGGCCGUGUCAGGCAACACGAUAGGCCAUGUUGGGCUUCUGGUGCAAACAGGCUUGACACGCCCCUUUAGGGAGGCUGACACAGGCCGUGUCAGCUGACACGGGCACCCGUGUCAGCUCCCUGUUUUUCCUUUUCCAAGUGUCUGAAGGAGAAUAGCCAUCCAAGGCGCAGCGGAAUUUAAAAAAUUCUCCAUUUAGUGAUCCUUACGAAUGGGCAUGAUCAGUGAUAGAAUCGUUACCUCUUGUGGCAAUUCAAACCUUUGGUGCAGAUCUCUGAUAAUGAAAAAAUUCUCCAUUUAGUGAUCCUUACGAAUGGGCAUGAUCAGUGAUAGAAUCGUUACCUCUUGUGGCAAUUCAAACCUUUGGUGCAGAUCUCUGAUAAUGAUCAAAACCUUUGAUACAGAUCCACGGAGUGAUCACGAACGUUGAACGAUGACAACGUCUCUACUCAGUCCACACGAACGGAUUCCCUCAAUCUCAGUGCUAGCUGGUACGAAUGAAGGCUUUGAGUGAGAGAGAGAAACGAAAUUCCAACUCUUCACUUGAGUUGAAUCUCUGUGGAGUCACAAUGCUUCUACCCAAGGGGUUCUAUUUAUAGAACCACUUGUGUGGGCUUCAAGCUAAAAAGCCCAACUAAGUGUAUUUUGGCCCAUAUCUCAUAGUAUGCCAAAAUCACUUAAGUAUUUGGUACCUUACCAUAUUUCAUCUCCCACUUAAGUGCACCGUACCUUACGGUGUUCAUUAGUUACUCUACUUCUCAUCAAUCCGUCCUUUGUGUGUGACCCUGUAGGUUUUCGCGACGUUGGCAAUUAUAUUAAAUCACGCAUUUAACAUAAUAAACAGUGAGCGGUAUCUAGCAACACAUCACUGCUGACCCAAGUCACGAAAAAUGUCAUGUGAUCUGACAAAACCUCCUGUGAAAUAAUUAUGUGUAUAAUUACUCCUUUGCCCUAUGUCUAUAUUGAACACAAGGUAUAGACCGUGUCAGCCUUGUCCAGUUCAAUAUUGGCCCAUAGACAUUUAUCCCUGUUACGCAGGAUGGGCAAAUUCCAUCUGGACACUCAUGUUCCUCAGCAUGCUUUGUGGAGUACCCACAACUGUCUUUAUGGUUAUCCAGUUACAGACAAGUUGGAUCAGCAAUAAAGCACUCGACUCUACAUCUAGGAUCCAUAGUGGUUUCAGGUCGAAGAGUGGUAUACACUAUUACACCAUGAGAAUAACUUAUGACACUUUGCAUAACUUUCUAUAUAUAGUAUUCUCAUAGCGGUGCAAUCCGGUAUACAAUAUACUCCUAAUAUUCAUACCUAUGUUUAAGACUUGAUAACUCUUAUCCAGUAUCCAUGAGAUGUGAUUCAUCAGUCUACAAACAUAAUGUCUUAAUGCUUUAAUGUUAUCCCACUUCACACUUAAGCUCGACUACGGAUACUUUAAGAAUGUGUCCUUAUGUUUAAUGGUUCUCAUGAUUAAGUCACACUUAUAUACAUUAAAUGGACUAUCUAUUCCAGGGACUUUUUUAAUCAACCAUAUAAAGAAAAAGCCUUUUUAUUAAUUAAUAAAUAAUUCGAUACAAGUACCAAAGUAUUGCCUCUAGGGCUUACACCAACAACUCCCACUAGCACUAGAGCCAAUCAGGCAUAAUCCUAAUGCCCAUUGAUCUAGUAUGGCCAUCAUGCUUCUGCUGCGCAAGAGGCUUUGUUAGUGGGUCAAGCAAUAUUGUCAAGUGUGGUACUCUACAUAUUUUUCACAUCUCCUCUAUCUAUUAUCUCUCGAAUGAGGUGAUAACGCCUGAGUAUGUGUUUGGAUCGUUGGUGAGAUCUAGGCUCCUUAGCUUGUGCGAUAGCACCAUUGUUAUCACAAUAGAUACCAAUGGGAUCCACAAUGCUAGGGACUAUGCCAAGUUCACUAAUGAACUUUUGAUCCAAACAGCUUCCUUUGCUGCACUUGAGGCAGCAAUAUACUCGGCCUCGGUUGUAGAAUCAGCAACUAUAUCUUGCUUUGAACUUUUCAAGCUCACAGCGCCACCAUUUAAGCAAAACACAUAACCAUUGGAAUCAUCCAUAUUAAAGCGUCUCAGCACUUUGUCUAUGUACUCUGACUUAGGCCAAGCAAUUUUGUGAUCUAUCUCUAUAGAUUCUGAUUCCUAAUAUAUAGGUUGCUUCACCUAGGUCCUUCAUAGAAAAGCAUUUCCCCAUGGUUCUGAAAUGAACAACGUCCCAUCCCUAUAACAAAGGUUACUGUAAUAUGUCAUCUACAUAUAAUACCAGGAACACGAUCAUGCUCCCACUAACCUUCUUGUAGACACAAGGCUCAUCUUCGUUUUUUAUGAAUCCAUGAGUAAUACAUCACUCUGAUCGGAUAUCCAUAUAUCUCAGGUAGGUGACGUAUCCUGCCUGACCUACGCUGGUCUUGUUCUACUUGAGCAGGUUGCUCUUACACAACUAUUUGUGUUUCCUGCUCUAAUUCCUCCAUAGGUGUAUCAAUGCUUUUUGAUUCUUGAAUUUCUUCAAGCUCUACUUUCCUCCCACUGAUUCCUUUGGAAUUAAAAUCCUUUUCUAGGAAAACUCCAGUUCGAGCGACAAACAUUUUGCCCUCUGAAGGAUUGUAGAAGUAAUACCCUCUUGUUUCUUUAGGAUCCCACAAAUAAGCAUUUGUCAGAUUUGGGCUCAAGCUUAGUUGAAAUUUGUCGUUUCACAUAAACUUCG